GAAGAUGACCAUGGCAUUCUAGGCCGCUUCUGGACCGGUAUAGAAAGCUUGUUCCUCACCAAAGUCCACAAGCACGUUGAUCCGAUCGGUCAAGAAAUUCAGAAGCUUGUCUCUUACAAGAACGAAAGUGGAUGGGUGUUGCUUACCAAAGGAUCAACUUUGUUGGUCACAGGUCAUGGUAUCUCCGCAUUGAAGGUGGUAGAGGACUUUGAGAAAUGGAGGGAGCAUGUCAAGGAGAAAGGGUUUGAGUAUUGUUUCAAGGCCUAUUAUGGGAAGGUUAUUCAGGCGGGUCGACCUUGUUGCCGUCUUGACAUUCCGGGGUCUACCGGAAAGGUUCCGGAGUCGAUGAAGUGCCCUGAUUGUCACCGUAGUAUGGAGACUUUUAUCAGUUACAAGUGCUGCCACAUUGAUGGUCCAACUGCACAUCAUUGAGUGCUGGCUGAAUUGGUGUUUACGAUCAGUCCUUCAGUACGUUAUGAUGGACUGUUAUGUUAUCUUUUACUUCUGCUUGUAUGAAUAAGAUGGGCAUGGCCGAUGCAUUGUGAUGCUUGGUAUAACCCAGACUUACGAUUUGAAUUUUCCAGCUAUAAUUAUAUGGCUAGAUGUACUAUGUUUGGUGCUAUCGUACGUGUACCUUUUGAAUCAAAUAAGACCAAUAUUUUGGUGACUAAAUUGAAACCAAUUUAAUUUUUUAUUUCAGGUUAUUUUGUUAAAACAAAACAAAAAAGCUUAAAUUGAAAUAAGGGUUAGUUUAGGAUUGCUGUGACUUUUUAUAAAAAUUGAUUCUGUUGUACUAUGAAUACAAUCAGUUGAGUGAAGGAAAAUACUUGUGUGCGGACUAAUAUGUAUGUGUGCGUCCGGACUCUCUGUUAUUUACAUAUUUUCGGCAAUGUAAAUCAUAAUUUUAACUGUACAAAAGUUGGAUUAACCAAUAAAGAUUAUCUCUGCGAAAAAUCAAUGUAAACAAAAUUCGUUUGCUUAUCCGAUUGCAUUAAACAAAUGAACAGUUCUGAUGAAAGUUAGCAACCUCAUGAUUAGCUGUCAAUUUGUUUGAUUCAUUUAGCUUAACAAACGAUUUUUGUUCACUGAUUUUUUUACAUAGGUGAUCUUAAGGUGUUUGACCCGAAAGCAUGUACCAUACCCGUUUUAUCAGAACACGCGGAUCCUAUUUGACCCGAAAUGCAAAUGCCUAUUUAAGUUGAGAAACUCGAUCGUUGAAGCAACGAUCAUUUUGGAAAAACUAUUCUGGGCUUAGCUUCUGCGAAAAAGUUCUAUGCUUUACUUGAUUUCAAGGUACUCAAAUUGAUAGUUAAAAGUAUGGACCAUUGUCGAUGAUUCUUUUACAGGGAAAUCAUUAGGGAUCGAGUUUGUAUUAUAUUGUUUCUAAUACGUGUUCCUUCUUUUGACGCGAGGAAACCAAACUUGGGUUCUACUAUGAUUCUGGGAAGGAAUUAAGAUUCUGGGAAGGAACGAAAGAAGAAGGUAUAAUCGGUAAGUGCCCAGCACUACAAAAGGGUAAAAGCUGAACGAAGAAAUUUCGACGGGAUGGUGAUGUUACCAUGAAGAAAUAGCUCUAGGAGCUAAGAUACUUGUCUUGCAUUGUGGUUUCUUUUAAAAUUCAUUUAAGUCGGCUAAUUUUAUGCAUGAUUCUUUUUACAUUUUGUGCUUUCAUUGGACCUAAUGAAAUUUUGUGCUUUUAAGCCGUUCGUUUGAGUCUAGCAGGAAAACAAAGUAUUGAGUACAACUCAUACUUAAGGCAAUCCAUCUGCUUUGGCCAAGAAACUUAUUACUGCUGAUUAAUAAGUGAGAUUGAUGUGUUGAUUUAUGUUUUCUGAAUAAUAUGUGAAAUAGUCAUGCUAUCACAUAAAGGCAAUAGCAAGUAUGAUGUCCAAUAAAUAGCUAUUGAUCAAUGACUUGUUCUGUAUCUGUUGGCAUGCUCUUUAUUGAUGUUUUGGUAUAACUGAAAACUAUAUAUGACUAUUUAGAUGAACUCAUUGACAUCUUGAUAAAUGACGCAUUAAUGCCUUGACAAGAAAGCAUGGUAAGUUAGUCAUUAGAUAAUAGACCAAAUUUAUCUUGUUUUCAUGAAAGUGUGGCUGUUUUUUGAGACUGCAUCAAUUUUUUUUGAAAUUGUCCAUUGUAAUUGAAAGUUCAUCGACUCAUGUUAUUACCUACUGGAAAUUUGCAUUCUGGAUGUAUCUACUAAGGAUCAUCUUCAAACAUUUGUGUGUAUAUAUGUAUAUAUGAGUAAAUGUCUAUAAUUAUAAUGAAACUACUCCCUUUUAAACUGUGCUAGUCUGUAGAUAUGCAAAUAGCAUUCAUAUUAGAAAUUUACUAGAUAUGCAUGUGUUGGGAUUUACUUCCAAUGAUUCUUAGCAAAUAUCGGCUAUCAACAUAAAGUUAUCUUUUUAGCUAGUAGUUAAAUGUCAGCGCAAUGCAAAUACAGGAUUUCUGGUAUAACUUGUUAUUGUUUCUCUUGGUCAUUAUUCAAAUCUGUAUAUUGAGUAUUGGAACAAGUCAUGUGCUUUUCUAUAAUUGUACAGUUAAUACUACUUCAAGCUAGUGACAUUUAAUGACAGUAUUUACAUGAAAUUUUGCACAACUAAUUGAGCUUCAUAAGUAUGUGUGAUUGUCAAUGGAAAUCACGUAAAGCACUAAAGGCUACUUUUAUAUCUAUGCUAUGCUAUAAAGUUCCUAUACAGAACACAGAAAAGAGACAUGCAUAGAGCUUUAUUCGAAAUCAGACUACAGAAAUUGUUUGGAUACUAUAUGGGAUUGUAUCUAUGCAUCUACUACUAACUUGAUAUGACACAACUAAGGUAUGUUUUCAAGAACUGAUGAAAUUUUUAUCAAGUGAUGCUUAAGUGCAUCAGGGUUGUACAUGAAUUUGAUUAAAGCAUGUUGCCUUGGUAUUCUAAAUAAGGAUAUUCUGUGAUGAUCACAUGCCGGUAACUAUAGUGAUAUGUCACCAAAAUGCUUCAAUUUUGAUCUGGAAUAUCUUACAUAUGUUGAUAAUCAUUGUGUACUUGUUGUUACAAUUUGCUUGUGUAAAAUUUAGUUAACAAGAUAAAAGAUAUCUCCCAAAAUGAAUCUUGUUAAAUUUUCAUUAAAUUUUACUGUAUGCAUAGUUGGUGUGUUUCUUCAAGCCUUGUGCUCGAUGAACUACAGGAACCAACUUUGAUCUUGGAUCCUUGGGGUGUCUUGGUGGUACAUGUUGAACACAGUAAAUUGCUACUAGGAUCUCUCAUUGAUUAUAAAGGUUAAGAUCAAGAAACUUGUGUUGUACACAUUAAUUUCAUGACUGUAUCUCCCACAGGAGGUUUAAACUUUACAUGGAUUUAAUUUGCGCAUACAGGUUAUACAGCACAUCACAAAAUUGAUAAAAUGCAUUUGUUUUGCCAAGAUCUUUUCUUCUUACCAUACAUGUGUUGACUGAUCUUAACACUCUUGUUCAUUUUGGGUCUUGUGAUUAAGAAACUUCAGAAUGUCAUGCCUCCCCAAUGUGUUUUUACAUACCUGCUUCGAUUUGUUCGAUAUAUGUGUUGCAUUAAUACUUGUUUUACAGCGCUGGGAGCAUCCUGGUAUGCAUCUGUCUAUGUUUUGAGAUUUUAUUGAACUUUGUUUCAAUUCAAUUGCAAGAACCCUAGAUGAUCUCCUGGGGGGUACUUAAGCUUUAGGAUAGAUGCCCAGAUGAAACUUAUCAUAUAGAUUUAGGUGUUGGAAAACCAUUGUUGAUGAUUCUGAAUUGAGUGAAAUGUGUUUGUAGUCUAUGUAGACUGAACUCUUAUGGAAUUGUUUGUGGUGUGCCUAUACCUACUAUAUGAUGUUUGAUAACAUGUAAUUGCUUAUGUGAUUCUUGGACAUAAAAUGACUUAAAUAAAUUCUCCCUGUUUGAAAAAAUUUAUGUUUAAAGAUAACAUAAGUAAAAGACUGAGUUUUCUUAUGAGAUGAAAAUCUCAUGGAUAUCAAAACGAAGGUUAUCAGUCACUGUUUUAGAAUCAAAAUGAGUGUUUUAAAUUUCAUAAUGCACACAGCAUAGUUGUUUAUGAUACUCUAUUUGGUUAUAAAGACACUAAAACAGGAAACUUGCAUAAAGUUGUUUAGAAUGCUUUCGUAUCAUCCACAGAUGGCUUUAAACAAUGUAAUUCUAAGCAAUUUUUAUGGUUUUGUAUGUCAUGUUUGAAGUGCAUAAGGAUGUAUAGUUGGACAUUUUCUUUUGCCAUACAAGUAUUGACUUGUCUGAUUAUAAAACGUACUUUCACACAUGAUAGGACAGUAAAGGAAAAUAAGGAAUGACCAAGUGCUUUACCACACAGGUAUGUUAUUGAAAAGAAAGAUGCAUAAGGAAAAUAUCAUCUAAAUUGAUAUACAUUCUGCAUUGUUUUGUAUUGAAUGUAUAUGAACUAUUAUGAAUUGAUAUGGAUUAUAGUCUUGUUUGUGAUUCUGGUUUUGUUUUACAGUGGUUAAACUUUAGACAAAUAUUUUCUAUAUAUAUUAUAUAUAGGGGGAGAAUAUUUCACAAUUCAGUUGCAUGCUAUUUACUAUAAGAGCAUUUGUCUUUUGGAAUGAGCAUAUUCAUGAAUCACUUGAUUAUUUACACUUUGUGGCUCUCACUAUAGUCCAUUAUGGAUUUUCAGAUAGCUAGAGAACGGUGGGAGCAUUGUUUACACUAUUUAUUGUUUAUUAGUUUUCUAGACUAAAUAUCUUGAGCUUAAAAACUUGGCAUUCUGCCUCUUUUGUUGAAAUGAAUAAGUUCAGACUUUUGAUUACAGUAAGGUUGUUGAAUUAUGAAAUUCAUGUUAUGAGCAUUAACAUGCUAUAAGAACUGUGGUAUGUGAUUUUGCUUAUAAAGAAAUUAUGUAUAUAUGAAAUAUAUAUAUAUAUAUAUAUAUACAUGCCUUUUCAGAUAUGGACCUCCGUAUUUAUUCAAAAGGUACGGAUUUUCUUAAUUGACAUACUUUUCGAUCAUAUUUUCUCAUCUCAACCAUUCAUCUUUUAGGUAUAUAUGAGUACGUAGAUUAUCUCUACAAAAUUUUAGCAAAAUUGAUAAUCAUUAAGGUAUUCAAAUUUGUGAAUUACACGAACGGUUCAUGUUGAACAGAUUUGGUUCGUUCAUUGUAAUCAUAUAGUUUCGAUACCUUAACGAUUAUCAAUUUGGCUGAAAAUUUGUAGAGAUGAUCUACACAUAUAUACCUACAAUGUGAAUGGUUAAGAUGAGAAAAUAUGAUCUAAAAGUGGGUCAAUUAAGAAAAUCCGUACCUCUUGAAUAAAUACGGAUAUUUGAACCUGAUAAUAUCUAGAAUUAAAUUCAGUUUACCCCCAUGAAGUUUGGGAGUAACUUCAUGUUAAUCCCUAUACUUUCAAUUUCAUCAGUUUACCCCUCAAACUUUUGAAUUUUCCUCAAGCGUGACCAAAUGUCCUAUAUUCUGUCCAAAUCGGACGUUAACUACUGAUAAUUUUAACCAUAACUGUGAGGCCAGUAUCUAGAAUUUGGGCAAAUCGGACCUUAUAUGUCCAAAUCGAACCUUAACUGCUGAUAAUUAAAGGUCAAUUCAAACGGAAUAUGAGAAUUUGGGCACGGCAGACAUAAAUUGAAGAGUUCAAGGGGUAAACUGAUGAAAAUAAAAGUGUAGGGACUAACAUGAAGUCACCCCCAAACCACAAGGGGGUAAACUGAAUUUUAAUUNNNNNNNNNNNNNNNNNNNNUAUAUAUAUAUAUAUAUAUAUAGAGUCCGGAUCUAGAAAGGACCUCCUUAAACUCUUAAAGUGAGGAUGUUUUUAGUUCUACCAUGUAUUUUGACAAUCAAAGCCACUCAUUCCCUAGUUACUUACCCACGCGCAAAUAUGAAUCCAACAAAAAAUUAGCCAAAAUGAAAAACGUUUAACCAUUUGAUUAGCACAAUAUUCGUUUUAAUUUUAUCUAACGGCCUACAAUUGUGUACGUCAAUUUGAAUGACCAAAUGAUUAUGGAAUUAGUUGAAAUUUUGUAGACAUGUUUUUUGCAUAUGAAUCUAGAGGAUCAACGGUUGAGAUAGUUAAAUGAAGUCAUCUACUAAUGUAAAAUAGUAGAAAUCUUUAAAUUCUUAAAGUAAGGAGGUUCUCUUUAGAUCCUCCCUAUAUAGUUUUUAUCAAGAGCGAAGCUUCGCUCUGAAAUUAAAGUGUGAAGUUCUUUAUUUGACUCACUUUUUCGUCAUAUUUCCACAUUUCCACCGUUCAGUUUGUAGAAUCUAAUGCAUAGAUCACUUAUGCAAAGUUUCAUCUAAUUUGAUGAUCGUUUGGGUUUUCGUAAUCGUUAUUUACACAAACAGUUCUGGUUAGACAAAUUUAUGGUCCGUUCAUUGAUUUGAUCUAAUUUAGUACCCAAACAAUCAUCAAUCUUAAUGAAAUUUUGUAGAAAUGAUCUAUACAUUAGUAUCAAUAAUCUGAACGAUGGAGAUAUGAAAAUAUGAUGAAAAAGUGAGUCAAAUAAGAAACUUCACACUUUAAUUUCAUAGCGAAGCUUAGCUCUAGAUAGUAACUGUGUGUGUGUGUGUGUGUUGCAUCAUUAUGCCUGUUAAAGGAACACAAGAAAAAGGUGCGUCUAUUGCCACCCCACAAACCAUUUUGGUUACCCCACACGUUGUUGAUUUAUUGAAUGACUAAUAUACAUUAAUGUAAAAUUACAGCAAUGGACAAUAAGUUGUUACAAAUUACAAAUUUCCUCUUUUUAGAAAAACAUAUAUUUCAUAAACCUUAACCAGAAUUUAUCAUAUUCAAUAUUUCUAAAAAUUCGAUAUUUCUAAGAAGUCUGAAGAAGACACUAGCAUUCAACUGAGGAUGAGGUGAACUGUUUGUAUUUUUUUUUCUUCUUUUUUUUUCUUUGUUGAUGCUUCGUCUAUCCAUUUACCCAUUAUUUCUCAUAUCGAUUUUGUAUGUAAAUUUUCAUGUCUAGUCGCUCACUUAUAUAUAUUCGAUNNNNNNNNNNNNNNNNNNNNNNNNNNNNNNNNNNNNNNNNNNNNNNNNNNNNNNNNNNNNNNNNNNNNNNNNNNNNNNNNNNNNNNNNNNNNNNNNNNNNNNNNNNNNNNNNNNNNNNNNNNNNNNNNNNNNNNNNNNNNNNNNNNNNNNNNNNNNNNNNNNNNNNNNNNNNNNNNNNNNNNNNNNNNNNNNNNNNNNNNNNNNNNNNNNNNNNNNNNNNNNNNNNNNNNNNNNNNNNNNNNNNNNNNNNNNNNNNNNNNNNNNNNNNNNNNNNNNNNNNNNNNNNNNNNNNNNNNNNNNNNNNNNNNNNNNNNNNNNNNNNNNNNNNNAAAUCAUGACUUUAAGGACUAUUUAGAUUAAAAUAAAACCAUAAGGACUAUUUGGAUGAAAAAUCGUGACUGUAAGGACUAUUUAGAUUAAAAUAAAACCAUAAAGAUUAAACAGAUGUCGACUUCAAACCAUAAGGACUAUACAAUAUUUUACCCCUAAGAAAAUGAAUCGGAAUGACUAUUUGGAUGAAAAAUCAUGACUUUAAGGACUAUUCAGAUUAAAAUAAAACCAUAAGGACUAUUUAGAUGAAAAAUUGUGACUUUAAGGACAAUUCAUAUUAAAAUAAAACCACAAAGAUAAACAUAUGUUGACUUCAAACCACAAGGACUAAACAAAUUUCAAUUCUUUUUUUUUCAUCGGUGUCAGAGCUUUUUUCAAGUAGAGCUUUUUUCCAUGUGCAUCUUAUCGACGGAUACCAAUGUUGUUAAGUUUGAGAGUUUUUUUUUGUUCUUUAAUUGUGAUUUAUACUUUAAUAUGAUUUUUAUUGUUCAGUUUGUGAUUCCACUUACCCAAAUGAUAGUAAUCUUAUGGUUUUCUUCAAUUUCAUUUUGUUUUUGGAGUUCAAUGGCUAUUGGAAGAGACUGAUAUUGUGUGUAUUACAAAUCGGUGAAUAAAGUAAAUUUAAAAUUAAAAAAAUAUAUAAGCCGGGUGAGAAGAGAUCGAAUGUAGGGUGAAUAAAGUAAAUAUGAAAUUGAAAAAAAUAUAUGUAGGGCGAAAAAAGAAUUUAGGGUGAACAAAACAAAAAUGGGAAAAAUGUAUUUUCGGUAUUGUAAAUGGGUGAACAAAGUGGACUUACAAUUAAAAAUAUAUAAGUGGGGUGUGAAGAGAACGUGGGUUGAACAAAAUGGUUUGUGGGGUGGUAAUAGACGCACCCACAGGAAAAUUUUCUUUGAAAGUUUGUGUUGAGGUUCUUGCAUACAGAACCAUAGAAUGGAUUGCUUUGCUCAAGUGUUUGAUUAUCACCAUUUUCAUCAGGAAACACUUUGGCAAUUCUGUCAUCCCUGAUUGGUCAUGUAUUACAUUUAGAGUCGUGUCGGUGGUCUUUAAGUUACUGAGUUCAAUGAAUGCAAUUUUUCUGGACAUCUGGCAUUUCUCUUUUGUGAUGACAGAUUGAUAAUGUUUGUAUCAAACAUGUGAAAUUUUAAUCUCAAGUGCACAAAGGAACAGUGUUAUAUCUAAACUCAAUAUGAAUUCUUAUUACAGGCUCUAAUGGAGAAAUUUUGAAAAAUGACCUAUUGUGGUUGUUCUAGGAUAUUCUGUAUCUUUCUAGAUAUUCUUUAUGUGUGCCUUGCCUUAUGCCAAUAGGAUAUGUAGUUUGACUAGAUCUAUGUAUUCAUAUCCUAACCAUAUUGGUAUUGUGUAAUUCCCUAUAUAAAUGGCUCAUAUCAAUGAAUAAGAUGAUGAUUCUCUUGUUAUCUCUUUGUCUCUACACUUUAUCCUUCAUCACAUUAUCAUGCACUUUGUUCUAACCCUAGAACUAAUAGCCCACCAUUUUUUUUCCAAACCCUAAAAACCAAAACCGGAGGUUCUCGGCCCUGCCUCGGCCGCCGCCGCCGUUGUCGCUUCCCGGCCGUCCACUCUGCUGCUUUUUUUUCAUCCGAUCAAGCAUCCAAGUGUUUACAGUAUGUUUAUUUUACAACCCUAAAACUCUUCCAAGUUCAAUAACCUCGGGGGAGAUAAAGUGCUUUCUCCCCUUCUUCUACUCCAUUCUAUGCUUGGGUCGGUGUAUUUGCAGGUGCCAAAAAUCCCGAAAUUUUAUUCGCGGGUCAAGAGUGUGUUUGAUCACUCUUGUUUCCUUGUCCGGGUUGUGUAUGAUCAACCCCAACCUAUCACCGGAUUGUGUUUGAUCAAUCCAAGGCCUUUUUCCGAAUUGUGUUUGAUCAAUUCGUGGCUUUUCCGGAUUGUGUAUGAUCAAUCUGAAGGACAAACCAUUAAAAGCAUUGUUUGUGACCUCUAUCAAGUCUCAUAACAGCUUGGUUUUGUAUGCAAGAGCAAUGUAACAUUCUGCUCCUUUGAGUUUUGACGUACUCGAUGCCUAAGGCGAAUCUUCGCUUGGUAUCUGUGGAACCUUUCAUUGGAAAUGAUUAAACCACAUGUUUUGACCCCCAGGUUAACAAGCUUAGAUGCCGAGAUUUCACAUCUCAUGCGCUCAAAGUCUUUGACGCGCUACAUCGACAAAAGUCUUCAAUGACAAUCUGUGCAAAAAGUAAUGACCACAAAAUACUGUGGAAUGCACUCAUGAAGCGUUUCUCGAAACGUUCAUAUAACUCUACUUGUUGAGUUAUUAGUCAACUGGAUUGCUUACCACUUUAAUUGACUACAUAUUGUCGAUGAUAUUUUGUGGCAUCAUGAUCCAUAAUCUUUAGCGGAUUCGAUCAUCAUCAAGUUCUCUAGGUCCUCUAAGUUGGUUUGGAAUUACCAACGAGACUUGAUUUUGAUCAUACAAAUGGGAAUUGUAUAUACGCUAAUGUGAUAAACUUAUUUGGGAUUAUCCCCUAAUGUGGGGACAACAAUAUGGGUCAUGGCAACGGUAGAAAACGUUGUGCCGAUGUCUAGAAAAGAGGGGGAGGUGUCGCCGGCUCUAAUAGCGACACUCCCGGUCUAGACAUCAUUUUGUCAAAACUACUCACGUCAGCUCAUGACAAUGCAACCGUUGUGGAUCUUCGGAUCACUGGUUCAAGAUUGUCCAGCUCCUUCAAAUUGUGAAUGCAUACAAAAAGAUACGGAAAAUCAAUAUGAGGACAAGAACGUCAUCCUCAUGAUCGCGAAUUUCAAAGAUUCGGAUCCUGCUCUAGCUACCCAUGACUUUGACGUCAUCUGUCACAUCCCGACCCUUAUAUUUUUACCUUAUUUACUAGCCUGAUUAUAAUAAAAAUUUUACCGUCUCGAUCAUUGAGUAAAUAGUUUAAUUGGUCCCUAGAGGGGUUUCGGGGACGAUUAUGUGCGGAGAAUUAUUAGUAUGAGGAAAAUACGACGACGGUAAAAAUGGUAAAUUUUAGCUAGUAAAAGGUAAUUUUUAUUCGGGUAUUAUUUUUUCGGGGUGUUUUUAUUUUUUUGGAAGUGGGUUGAUAUGGGUUGGACCGGUGGAGGCCCAACCCAUUUUCUUUUUCCUCCUCCCUUUCUCUUUUUCCGUCUUUUCUUUUCCUCUCCCCGAGCCUCCCGCUGCCCGGUUUUCCGGCUGUCCUCCCGCCGCCGUCCGACCUCCGUUCGCCGCCGGACCGGUCCCGUUCGGUCGGUCUCCCUCCCAGCAACAUUUCUAGACCGGUGAGAGGAGCCCUAGCGCCGCCGUGAGAGAGCGGUGCCGCCCGAAAGCAAGGGCUGUCCCGAACUUCCCUUCGCNNNNNNNNNNNNNNNNNNNNGUCCUUCGUCUAUUUGAGACAUCGAUGUACUCACAUUAGCAAUAAUGAAUUCCUUGAGAAUUUUUUCGAAGUUAUGAAACUAUUCUCCUCUUAUGGUUUGUAUUGAUUUACAAACAAGAUGUACAUUUUUACAUCGUCCUUAGAAGCGUGGCAUAUUUACAAUCUCAUGGUUAGAUUGUGCCGUUUUGGUCUCUUCCAAGUGAAGAUGACUCAUGACACGACAUCCUUAAAGAGGAUCGCCCACGUGUUUCCGGUUAAGUCUUCUACCCUAUGACGGAUUUUCAAUCAUCAAUUGUUCAACUAGGCUCAUCCAAGCUCAGUGUGAUGUCUUAGAAUUGUCCGAAAUUAAGGAGAUAGUGGUUUUAAGUGUGCCUCGCACUACCGACCCUCCACGGACAUGCCUGGUCAUACUGACUUGGAGUUGCCAAAAGCUUUUGAUUUUGGAUCCCCCUACGCUAUUAAACCAAUUGCCGUCUUGUAAAAGACGUUGAAGACUUAUCAAAGCCGGAAAAUUAUCAUCAUGGUCCUCUGAGUUAGUUUAUGUUCAUGUCAAGGAGCUUUUGCUAACUAGUCAUGGAGUUUACAACCUUAGAACGACCGAAAGGACUUGGUUUUGAUCAUACACACGUCAUUUUUGGCUAAGGCAAAAGCCUACACACCACCUGCAAGCUUCACAACUUCGCACAUGUCAAUUCUGCGAAAAACAGCAAUCUGUCCCUUCUGGACAGUAUUCAUUUGAGCUUUGUGAACAGCUCUGGACGAACCAGGCAGUGAGCUUUAUACCAUUGGAAAGCUCUACGAGUAUAGUUUUCAGAACUUUUCGCGGUUCAUCCAUAUCUAUUUUAACGAAGAAGUUAUGGUUGUUUUAGUGCGCAAAGGUCAUUCUGUGCGGAAAUUUUUAUGCACUAUCGGGAUUGCAGUUUUUCGUAGCUUCUUUCAAUCCUUCUAAAUAGUUCAAGUGGAACUAUUAACUAGCCUAUCUACUCCUUCUUGUACAUAUGUCUCAUCGAGACAUUGAGUGCUUCGCAGAUAGUGGAACUAUCCACAACAUUCUAAGGAACCGGCAACUAUCUUUGGAUUUUGUGCCUUUGUAAAUCUUCUGUGACUACAAUGAUUGAAUCAUACAUGUCAUUCAAGGAUACGGUUUAGCUUGAAUCUUGAUGCCUCAUGGCACCAUGAUCAAUGUCACAGAUACCUUCUAUGCAUUGAGAGGCAAUCAAAUCAUAUUGAGCUUUAAAGACAUUCAUGUUAAUAGUUUUCAUUUGAAAACAUAUUGUGAGAAUGAACAAGAAUUCUUUUGUGUAUACCUUCUCAUGAAUGCGGACUGAAAUGCAUCUUAGAGAAAUUUAUGAGUUAAUCUAGUGGACUGUAUGUCACUACGAUUCGAAUAUCGAAUCUCAUGUUGUCGCCAAACAUGAUAUUUGGGACACCGACUCAUAUAGGCUUUGGUUUGACCAAAUUGGUCAACCUGGAAGAGAUAUAAUGGUCCAAAUUUUGAGAAAUUCUCAUGGACAUCCAUUCUUCUGCUCAAAACGAAGACAUUUGAGAUCUAGCAUCACCAUGAAGCAUGGUGGUGACCCGGGGGACAUUGACGUCACCCGAACACAACUCCAACUUCUUGGAGGUCGUCCAGUCAAUUCCUCAAGCAAUUGAGGUGCACCAGCCUUCUCUCGAUGUCGCAUUGGCCCCCUGCAAUACUCAUUACUCGUUUUGAAAGCCUAUUCUUUAGCUAAAUUAGGAGUGAGACCCUCCUACGCUAAAUGACACAAAAGAGAAUAUUCAAUUCUUACAUCAAACUAUAUAGAUAGAUACAACCAACUUGCGGACACCUUUUUAUGCUUCAUGGUGUUGGUUGAAGUGUUAACACACUGGUCACAUGUUACACUAUUAUCUACUGCUUAUGCUGCUUAUACUUCUACGGGCUCACUACCCAUUCUUUAAAGAAGUUUAUCGGGAUGUAAGUUGAAGUGCCAUGUACCCCAUGUUCACACGCAAUACGGUCUCACCGAGGUUACGACCAAGCAACUUUAGCUUGUCGCUCGAACAUUAUUGAUGCGCACCAAUCUUUCUAUUGCGUCUUGGGGCUAUGCAAUAUUUGCAUGUAGUUUUACUAUUCAUCUACAACUCACCAUCAUUGAAUAUUGUUGUACUACAGCUGGUGACUGUGUACUAGGAUUGACACGAAAUUGCAAUCCUUGAGCUUGGCAAGAUUGAAACGGAUCUCCAAUCCUUGAGCUCAGCUAGAUGUUUAUUCUAGGUGCCAAAUCGCACUGCCACCGCACACAAUGAUGGGUCAUUUGAGAUGAAUAAGUAUUUAGGUUGGAUGUGAACCUCCACCUAUAAUCCGCAUAUGUAGAAACCUUGUCAGGCGAUCUCUUUCACCACUAUAUUGCGGAUUGUCACUUUGAUGAGACAAUAUUCCCGCCGUUAGGGGGAGAUAAGAAUACAAGUGUUCAAGUGGAACGACGUGAAUUGUCGUGGUUUGUCCCCACUAAGUCUCAUCUUGAUCCCAAAUGCUUAAAGUGUUAAAGUGACGAGAUCACAUGCUGCAAAUAUGUCUGCAAGGAUUGAUGUCCCAUCAAGAGGACAUGGCGCGACCAAAAGGUGUUGGUCUUGACGCCAUCACCAUGGAUGGUGAUAUAGUGACGUCAUAUAGUGGCAAAAUUGGUGUCACAAGGCCGUGUGGCUCCCUAAAAAGAGGGAGACCCUUAGGUUUGAUACUUUCUCACACUAGGAAGAAAGCGAGCUUGGCAUAACUUGAUCCAUUGAUCAGUGAUACUCAAAUCUGUCUCAUGAAAUCUGAAUUGUGAUUAUCGUUGGGGGAUGCCUCAAUGUCAAAUCCAAUCCAUGUAGAGAUCUCUACAAGUAUUACACUAAUGUAUACGAGGACGUGGGAUAAUGAGUCUACUAUCGAACCACCCUUUGUUGAUGGAUAUCAACUUAGUUGAUUGGCCUAAUGGAAAGAUGCGAUCUAGCAUUAACAAAGAGAUAGGUCCUUGGGCAGGUGAUGCCGACACCGCAAGCUAAACCCUAUCAACUAUGUCUUUGUUAGAUAGCGUAGUGAGAACUUUAUGGCGUAAGGUCUCUCACUAUCACGCACUGGGAUCGACUAUGAUGAGAUAUGCUCUCGUAAUGGAUGUCAUUGAACUCCACUACUUUGUCAGUUUGGUAGUUUCUGAAUAACUGAACAUGCAGCCUAUGAAUGUGAUCAUAAUAACAUCUCUAUGGGAUCAGAGAUAUACAUGAAGGUCUUAAACGGACUUCAUUCAUCCGAAUCAAGUGGUUCCUAACCACAAGAGCAUGCGUUUGCUAAAUGUAUUAAAACGCACAUGGACUCUACUUGAUUUGGAAGGGAUAUGGUGAAUUAUGCCUUUGCGUGUUCAUUCCAGAUUUACAUGGAUUCUUGAUGGAUCAAGAGAUGCCAAUAUGUAUCAACAUCCGAAGAAAAAGAUCUUGGGAAGACACGGUCUCGAUAAGGCAGUCGAUGACUGUAUUGAUGAUGAUGUUCCAUCAAUCGGCUUAGACGCUCUAACGAAAGUGAGGCCUACAUAUACUCCCAUGAUUAGUCAAGGUCUUUGCUCUAAAGAGAGAUCCAUUAUUUUGUCUAAAGAAAAAUGACAAAUAUGUGUUAAGAGAUGGAGUUCUCAUCUAAGUACAAUAAAACGCAUCAAUGUACUCAACACAAUACGAAAGACUUGACAUCUCAUUCGCUAUGAAAAGUUGUAAAGCUAAAUGUAGCUAUGCGCCCACGCAACGCCAAUGUAAUGGCAGUAACUCUUUUUUCAAUACUUAAUGGUAUGAAAGGUUAAGGCUUAUUCUAUCCCUUCAUAAGAAAGACACAUCAAAAGCGAAAUCAGAAUCUGCCAAGUUUUGUAGGUCAACUUCCACGGGACCUACAUGAAAUCUAACUCACUGGAAAAUUGUGAAAUUGGUACCAUUGGAAAGGUCUAUGUGUCUACUUUCCAGGGACACCAACCAUUUGAUCAUACCUAUCAUAUUGAGUGAGUUAUGGCCAUUUUCGUAAAGUAGGACGAAUCUGUCCGAGAAUCUGAUUUUGGCAAAACAGUCAACUUCGACGGGACUUUGUGAAUAGCUCCUGACGAACCAGAACGUGUGUAAUAUACGGUUGGAAAGCUCCAUGAGUCUAGUUUCCAAAACCGUUUACGGUUCAUUCAUAUAUAUAUCGUAGAGGAAGUUACGGCUAUUCUAGUAACUAAAGGUCAUGCUACGCGGAAAUCUAAUUUACUGCACGAACUUAUGUCUUGAGUUCACAAGCGGCCUUCUCCUCAAGAUCUAAGUGUAAAAGAUCAUUUGAUGACAAUACGGCAUGAUUUAGUUAAUCAUUGCCUAAUACCACAUUUGAAAACAUGUUAAAAAGCAUUGACAUGCUAAGUUGUUGAAACUUCCGUGAUUAGUAAAAAUUAGGAAGAACCCUAUGAUUGAUGUAAAGAUCAGGGGGAGGUGCGAACUUCAGGGGGAGUUUAGCACAUACAUUCAUGUCGCUAUAAAAUGUGAAGGGUGCGUUGUACUCUUUUUCUCCUACGAUCAAGGUUAAGCUUUUGUCCCAUAGGGUUUUUAUGACUUGACGAGGUUUUUGAUGAGGCAACAGAUAUUCUUUAUGUGUGCCUUGCCUUAUGUCAAUAGGAUAUGUAGUUUGACUAGAUCUAUGUAUUCAUAUCCUAACCAUAUUGGUAUUAUGUAAUUCCCUAUAUAAAGGGCUCCUAUCAAUGAAUAAGAUGAUGAUUCUCUUGCUAUCUCCUUGUCUCUACACUUUAUCCUAAACCUAAACCAUAAACCCUAAACCCUAAACCCUAAACCCUAAACCCUUAGAGCUAACUUAGGUGACGAAAAUACAUUUCGUCAUGUAAGUGAUGGGUUAGGUAACGAAAUAUAUUUUCGUCACCAAAGUUUUGAGCAUUUAGGUGACGAAAAUACAUUUCGUCAUGUAAGUGAUAGGUUAGGUGACAAAAUAUAUUUUUGUCACCAAAGUUUUGAGCACUUAGGUGACGAAAAUGCAUUUCGUCGCCUAACAACUUACUUUUGUGACGAAAAUAAAUUCGUCGUCUAACACCUUUGCUUAGGUGACGAAACAUAAAGUUGUGUGUCUUUUUGAACCAACUAUGGGGUAGAAGUAAAAUUUAGAAAACCCAUCAUACUAUAUGAUCAGUGUACUUAAAUACGGCUAUGAAAAAAAAUCCACCAGUUUUCGAAAACAUUAAGGUCUCGAUCCACGCGGUUAACAUUAAAUUAACGGCACUUAUUACACGAAAACGCUUUUACCUACUCCUAUACGACCUAGUUUGAUUGAUUCUUUCACACACAAAACUCUCACAUUGAUGAGAUGUAAUGACCCAUGUAAAAAUUUGGGGACGUUCACCUCUUGACGAUAGAGCUCCACAUAGAGAAACAUAAGCGUAUAUAGGGUUAACCGCUUGUAUCGGGGACCAAACGUUACCAGAAAUAUAUGAUUUUUCAACCAUAGUCGUAUUUCACCAUACCGAUGACAUCCUAUUUCAAAAGAUUUUUGAAAAUAUUGCUUUACAAAUAUCUACACUUGCAUGUAACCUACUAAACAAGUUAGACCACAUUAGUAGACAUGUUGUGGUUCCGAUGGCUAAAUUUUACAAAAUGAAAAUUCAACUGUCUGAUAUGAUCAGUGUACUUAAAUACGGCUAUGAAAAAAAAUCCAUCAGUUUUCGAAAAUGUUUAGGUCUCGAUCCACGCGGUCAACAUUAAAUUAACGCUACUUAUUUUACACGAAAACACUCUUACCUACCCCUAUAUGACCUAGUUUGAUUGAUUAUUUCACACACAAAACUCUCACAUUGAUGAGAUUAACCACUCAUGUAAAAAUUUGGGUACGUUCACCUCUCGAUGAUAGGGCUCCACAUAAGGGAACAUAAGCGUAUAUAAGGUUGACUGCUUGUAUCGGGGACUAAACGUUACCGGAAAUAUGUGAUUUUUCAACCGUAGUCGUAUUUCACUAUACCGAUGACAUCCUGUUUCACAAGAUUUUUGAAAAUAUUGCUUCAUUUUUUCUAACAAGAUCACAUUCUAUCAAAACCUUUUUCUUUUUAGGAAAUAAAUAAAUGUGUUGAAAUUAAAAUAAGACGACGAAAUAUAUUUAUUUCAUCAACUAAGUCCCAAAGUUUGAAAAUUUUUGGUUCACUGAGAUGACGAAAAUUUAUGUCUUCGUCACCUAACUACUUAAUAUUUGGCGGGUCGAAAAUUCCGUCAAUUUUUUAGGCCAAAUUUUGUAUUUGACUUAAGUGACGAAACGGCUUCAUUCGUGGGCUGAGUUUGUUUUUGUAAACCCAAAUACAGGGCAACAAGUCCCAUACUCCUAUUAACUCUGAAAUCCCUAAAUCGAUCGUAUCGAUUCCAACUUUCCAAGCCGUCUCCGCCCACAUCGCCGUCGCGUCCACAUUGUCGUCUCUUCCCUUGCUCCAUUGAUCCCAUUCGGCCUCUCCCGCGCUGAUCUCGUCUUAUUCAUCUCCUCAUGGCCAAUUUCUUUGUGAAUUUGGAUUGAUUAGUUCAACGAAGGAGGAGAAUCGAAGCCGAGUAGCUUUCGAAUUUGCAGAGAUUAUUCUAAGUUAAUCAGCAACGCCUUCCAAAACAUGAGGUGAGAGACCUCUAACCUCUUCUACUCGUUGAGUUUCAUAUCUAGGUGUAUUAAUUUUUAGAUUUUGAUCAUGUUCUGAACAAAUUGGUUUUUGGGUGUUAUCGGUUAUCGGCAGAGUUAUCGUCCUCGGCGGAGCUCCUAAGUUCUUCUUCCAUGUCUAGAAAGAGUAUUGGCAUCUUGUCAAGUUUGAUCAAUUGCUGAGAAGGUUGAAUUCGUGAGUUCGAGUAGUUUUUGCCACCACUGCGCCACCGUUUGUGGUGAAGGCCUAAGUUCCUUCUUCAGCUUGAUUUGCAUUAUGAAUUGUGUACUGAUGUUUAAUUAUGACUUAAAUCACAGAAGCUGUAUGUUUGAUGAUUUGGGUCAAGUUUCUGUUAAGGACUUUUGGGGUUGCUUCAUUAUGGAUGCAUGAACAGAGCAGGGGAUUGCUGUACAAUCUACAUCCAGAAUUAAUACUGAGUCUGGGGUAUCACUGUGUUCACCACUGAAUCUAAUUAAGGUGAAGGUGAGCUUCAAAUUUAUAAUCAUGCAUGAGCUACAAGUGUUUAAUAUAAUACUAUUAAGUAUUGAUUCGGGAAUUUGGAAAUGGAUUAUGUGAAUGGUAAUGGUUGAUUGAGUAACAUAGAAUGUCAUAUUGGGAAGGAAGAAUGUUUUAGAUUAAUCACAAGGGUGUGAUUGGUGAGACCAUGAGAGCUUGAAUAUAUUCAUGUUUGACAUUCUGUAUGAGUGGCUGGGCAUAGUUGUGCCUUUUUUAUUUGUUAAAUUGUUAUCAUUGGAGGAAUGGAGUUGAACUUCAGUAUUUAAAUUUGGUCUAUUGAAGAUGACAUACUAGUCAUCAAGAAUGAUACUGAAAUGGUAGUAAUGAUCUUCUUUGAGCUAUAUGACUAAGUUGGUAAGUUGCAACUUGGUAUUCAUGACUGGUCGGUAUGAACAUGUACCUAAAAGGUCUCAUGGAAUUUGAAUGAUAAUUAUAAAUUGGGAAUGUGGUAAUAGGGAAUUAAAAAUCAAAUUGGGAGUGUUAAGGACUUUCAAUAUGGUUAGUUUUCAUUAACUUGCAAAAACAUGGUUAAAAAUCAAUUUGAAUGCCUAAAAAGGAUUAUUAUUCUUCAAAAUUUGAGUAAAUUUUGGAUAUUGGUUUCUGGGUUUUGAGCUUUAGCAUUUAGGGUGAUGAGUAGGUUCAAUAUGAAACUAUUUUAACUCUGUGUAGGAGGCUUAUUGUAUACUGAGAGUUGAUGCGACUGACUUUAACUAUGUGAAAUUAGUAAAAAGAAUAAAGUUGAGUCCUUGGCAUCAGUAUUUUAACUCUAGAGCAUCUUAAAUUGAGUCCUUGGCAUCAGUUUAGCUGCUACUAACCCUCUUCUUACGAUAAUAUGAAUGAUUCUGUGUUAUGUAUAUGUACAUUGUACAAUCACCAAUUAACUAUGUAUGACUGACCAAGAAUGCCUCAGGAACUCACCCUAGCCUGCACUUUCCCAUCAACUCCAACCAUAUCCUUCCUUUUCGUACUGGGUCAUCACUUUUGUUCCUCUCCUUCUUCCAUGCCUAUAUUUUUUUCCUAACACAUACUGCUCAUUUCUUUGUUCUUUUCUCUUCCAAACCUGUAUAUUUUGUAUGGCUUCUCCCCUCUUAUUUCAUUUGUUUUGCACAGUAGCCAGUGUGUUUAGUUAGUACGAUUAAAACCGAUUAAUUAUUGUAUUGUUUUUGCAUUUUCAUUAUGUUUAGUUACAUGUGUCUUUGGCUAACUAAUACUAGUUGGUGUGUUGUUUUUCUUCUGUUGUGCUUCCCUAAUGAAUUGGUUCUUGCUUUGCAUACAGAUCAUGAUCAUGUCUUCAACAGUGUGAGCAGUUUCUCUUCACCAAAUUCGGCGUAUGCCAGCCAACAGUCCCACCCCAGGAGUAGCCUAAUGAUGAUGAUCAUGAUGAUGGAGGCAAUGAUUCAAUUAACAUUGCUUCAUAGUCACUUUCAUAGUUACUAGUUUAUUUUCUAAUAUAUAUUUUGUAUAUAUGAACAAGUCUAUAUUUUCAAGUACUACUCUUGAGUUUGUAUAUGAACUUGAUUAGGAAUAUAUAUAUAUAUAUUUGCUACUGCCCCAGGUGCUUUGGCCAAUAGUGGGUUUUUGAAAUAUUGAGUUCUUUUUUUUUUUAAUUUAUUUAUGUUAAUAUUAAAUGUGAUAUUAAUAAUUUUUAAUGAUUAAAUUUAUUAAAAAUAAAUAGCACUAAGGUGACGAAAGUUAAACUUUCGUGGCCUUAGCCGGAUGAAAGAAUUGUCAGCAAACUGACUGUUUUCGUAGUGUAGUGUUUUGGUAACGAUGAAUUUCAUCAACUUAGCUGGUCACACUACGUCACAAUAGAUCAUAGACCAUGAAUUAUAUUUCGUUUCUCAAGUACUAUGGCGACGAAAUACUUUUCGUCAGCUAACCAACUUGGUGACGAAAUAACUUUCGUCAGCUAACCAACCUGGUGACGAAAUUUUUUCGUCAUCUAAGUAACUUGGUGACGAAAAAGUUUUCGUCAUCUAAGUAAUGACUAAAAUGAUGAAAUACAUAUUUUCGUCACCUAAGUGCUCACACCACCGCCCUUAGGUGACGAAAUUUUCGUCGUUUUAGUGCUUACAUGACGACAGAAGCUCUUAGGUGACAAAAAUAUUUUGUCACCUAAGAACUUUUUUCUAGUAGUGGUUAAACACUCUUCCUUGACUAUCACUCAUUUAUGAUGUUCUUUUACGUAUUUCAAUAUAUUUAUAUCGUUAAUCGAAUAUCUCUCACCUCUCUUUUUCUUCUUUUCCAAAUCCAGAACCAAUCUUUGAUCUUCCGGUCUCUCUUCUCUGCACUUUUUCUCUAACAAUGUUGAGUUUCUCUUGGACCAUUAGUUCAUUACUGAAUUCAAUUAAUAUACAAUCCAAGUGGGGUUUUAGUAUCAACAUAACCCCUUCUAAAGCCAUAAUUAUUUUAUUUACUGUAGGGUUGUUCAUAUAUCAUUUCAAGGUAAGAUUUUUAACAAAAAAUAGUGACGAUUCUUAUAUGACCUAUAUUCAUUGUUGCUCAAUCAAAAUAAAAAAAAUUAGAUAGCAGAAACAACUCAAAAACCUUUAAAACAAUAACCAUGGACUGAGAAUGAAACCUUAGACCAUAAUUAGCACAAUUGAAUAUGAUUGGAACGUAUUCUAAACUAGUGUUGACGGUUGAGUAAGUUCUUGACUUUCUUGUGGUUGGAAGGUCAGUAAAUGUUUUCAUUUGUGAAGUGCAGAAGAAGGAUAAUGACGUGAGAAAAAGAUGAGAAAAACUGGAAUUGGUGAAGCAUCAUUUAAUAUAACAAGGAUAAUUGCGACUUUUCCUCAUUUUAAGUGGUUAUUUCUCAAAAAAAUUUAAAAUUAAGGUUAUAAAUCAAUUCGAGUGUUUAAAUAUGGUUGUUUUUCAAAAUUUCUCGCUCUAAUGCUAGUCCAAGUGGGAGAAUGUUAGAAUGGACUUAGCAUUUUGAGUCCUAAAGCAUGACAACUUCCAUAAUAUAUGCAGAGUAAAUAUUGUGGGAUUAAAAGCACAUUAUCAUGAUAUAUUUAUCUAAAUGAAAUGGUUAGAUAAGUAAUGAAAUACAAUCGAAUUAUCUUGUUAAACAAGAUAAUAGAGAUGGACUAAUAUUGUUGUUUUCUAAUGGAACUCAAACUCUUGGAUGGACAGAGUUGAGCUAUCCAACAUUAUCAUGAUAUAUUUAUCUAAAUGAAAUGAUUAGAUAAGUAAUGAAAUACAAUCGAAUUGUCUUGUUAAAUAAGAUAAUAGAGAUGGACUAAUAUUGUUGUUUUCUAAUGGAACUCAAACUCUUUGAUGGACAGAGUUGAGUUAUCCAAAGUGUAGUAUAUAAAGAGGUCCCUAUGCACACUCUAAACUACGUCAAUACGAGUCUCUCUCCAUCUGAGCAUGGUAACUGAGUGCUGCAUAGAGGAUCCCUUAUCCUUGGAGCUCUUGGUCUACAUCAACGACUACGGUAAACAUGUUGUAUAUCCUCAUCCUUGUUCUAUGACCUUGUAUGAGUUGUAUCUAUAUACGUGUUUAUGCUUAAGUGUUUUUCUCUUUGUGGUUGUAGUAUAACAGCCAAAUAUUUUGGGGUGCACUACUAGAAUAAAGGACUUAGGCGACGAAAACACAACGACAAAAACAUUUUCGUCGUCUAGGUAUGCAGUUAGGCGUCGAAAACUUCAUUCGUCACCUAAAAUAACUUAGGUGACGAACCAAAUAAUGAUUCGUCGCCUUAGAUUACCAAGGAGACAAAAAAAGGACUUAUACUAUUUUCGUCGCCUUAAUAGAUAUUCAGGCGACGAAGAUGAUUUCGCCGCCUAAAAUAUGAACCACUUAGGCGACGAACAUAUUAUUUCGCCGCAUAAGUUUAUCUUAGGCGAUGAAAGUGGUUACUUAUGCGACGAAAAAGUUUCGUCGCCUAAGUAAACUCACUUAAUCUCCAUUCAGUUUCUAGAUCUGAAACAGAUGGGAAAAAAGGGGAACUUGACAAGAUAGCCAUGUCUUGUUGUCAUUAUCUGAUUUUCUCAUUCUCAUUUAAAUAAUUUAGGAUAUAAUUUAUGUAGCCAAUUUUUAUCUUGAUAUAAUAUAACUACUGUUAUGUAUUUUUAUUUGAAACAUAUAUAUUUAUGUUUUUCCAAUGAUCACUUCAUUUAUGUUUUUAUUUGGUAUAACUUGUUUAAUAGGUUACAUGCAAGUGUAUAUUUUUGUGAACCAACUAUAUAUAAGAAGCAAUAUUUUCAAAAAUCUUGUGAAAUAGGAUGUGAUCGGUAUGAUGAAAUACGGUUAUGAUUGAAAAAUCAUAUAUUUCCAGUAACAUUUGGUCCCCGAUAGAAGCGGUCAACCCCAUUUACGCUUAUGCUUUUAUAUGAGGAGCCUUAUCGUCGUGAGGUGAACGUCCCUAAAUUUUUACAUAGGUGGUUAGAUCUCAUCAAUGUGAGAGUUUUGUGUGUGGAAGAAUCAACCAAACUAGGCCAUAUUGGGGUAUGUAAGAGCGUUUUCAUGUAAUAAGUGACGUUGGUUUAGGUUUGACUGUGUAGAUCGAGACCAAAAACCUUAUCCAAAACAUGUGAUAUUUUUUUCCAUAGCUGUAUUUAAGUAUACUAAUUAUAUCAUACGGUUGAAUUUUUAUUUUAUGAAAUUUAACUAUCGGAACCACAACGUGUCUAUUAAUGUAUUAUAACUUAUUUAGUAGGUUAUAUACAAGUGUACAUUUUUGUGAACCAACUAUAUAUAGGAAGCAAUAUUUUUUAAAAUCUUGUGAAAUAUGAUGUGAUCGGUAUGAUGAAAUACGGCUAUGAUUGAAAAAUCACAUAUUUUCUGGUAACGUUUGGUCCCCGAUAGAAGCGGUCAACCCCAUUUACGCUUAUGCUUCUAUAUAGGGAGCCUAAUCAUCGGGAGGUGAACGUCCUUAAAUUUUUACAUAGGUGGUUAGAUCUCAUCAAUGUGAGAGUUUUGUGUGUGGAAGAAUCAACCAAACUAGGCCAUAUAGGAGUAUGUAAGAGAGUUUUCCUGUAAUAAGUGGCGUUGGUUUAGGUUUGACCGUGUGGAUCGAGACCAAAACCUUAUCGAAAACAGAUGAAUUUUGUUCCAUAGCUGUAUUUAAGUAUAUUGAUCAUAUCGUACGGUUGAAUUUUUAUUUGUGAAAUUUAACCAUCGGAACCACAACGUGUCUACUAAUGUAAUAUAACUUGUUUAGUAGGUUAUAUGCAAGUGUAAAUCUUUGUGAACCAACUAUAUAUAAGAAGCAAUAUUUUCAAAAAUCAUGUGAAAUAGGAUGUGAUCGGUAUGAUGAAACACGGCUAUGGUUGAAAAAUCACAUAUUUCGGGUAACGUUUGGUCCCCAAUAGAAACGGUCAACCCCAUUUAUGCUUAUGUUUCCCUAUGGGGAGUCUUAUCGUUGAGAGGUGAACGUCCCUAAAUUUUUACUUUGGUGAUUAGAUCUCAUCAAUGUGAGAGUUUUGUGUGUGGAAGGAUCAAUCAAAUUAGGCCAUAUAGGGACAUGUAAGAGCCUUUUUGUGUGUUGUAGAGUAGCUCUGACGACGAAACUGAUAAUUUAGUCGCCUUAGUAACUAAAUUUGGGCGGGUAGAUAAAAAAUUUGGUCUACUUUAGCGGUGAAAUAUUUCACCUUCGUCGCUUAAGUCUCUAAAUUCGGCGGCAGCAUUUUGCGCUCAAAAUUUGGCCUAAAAUUUGGACCCAUUUUUCAAAACUAGUUUGGGCUGGCAGGGGACAAAAUUUUCGUCUGAUGGUCGCCUAGUGUAGAUUACUAAACCAAAAACUCACCCAAAAUCCCGUAGUGUCGACAGACGCCUCCCAAUUUUCUUCCUCUGCUAUCGAACCCUGCAAACCCUCCCAAUUCCUAAUCGAUCUCCACCCAAUCCCUAAUCAAUCUCCACCCUCAUCUCUCCUCCCAUCUGCGCCUCUCUCUCAUCUCUCCUCCGUAUUCAAUCUCCACCCUCAAACUCUCUCGAGUCUCCCCUCAUCUGCGCCUCUCUCUCAUCCCACCACAAACCUAAACCGAUCCAUAAGAAGGUGAGGGUUUAUGGUUUUUUUUUCAGUUGCUUUUUGGGUUUCAAACUCAAAAUUCCCAAGAAGUAGCUUUGGGUUUGUAAAUACUUCGGUGGAUUUUGGGUUUCUGAAAUUGGAUUUUGGAUUUUGUAGGUUGAGGCUGAGGAGCAGCUUGACAUUUUCGUGGCUUUUUUGGUUUCUGCUGUUCCCUUCUUUGCAAUGAGAUUAAGGUAUAAAAGAGAGGAAUCAGUACCAGCUUUCCUAGGAUUUUAGUUUCAGGGUUUAUUUUCUUGUUUUAUUGUUUAUGGCUUUUUGUGUUCACUGUAUUUGCCUCUGACCCCAUUUGAUCUUAUUGUACUUUGAGGUUAAAUCUAAUCUGUUGAAUCAUUGUGUUCUGCAAAAUUGGGUUUUCUAUAGUUGUGAUUCUGAUCUGGUGGGAUUUGUUAACAUGGUUAUUGUCCUUUUCCCUCAAGCCACUGUCUUUGAUCUAAACUCCCCUGGUUUUGUUGUUGAGGAGAAUCUUAAAGACAUGUAGCUGGAUCUCAAAUUUGGCGAGUACUGAGAAUGGCGAUAAAAAUUUAUUACUGCAGAUUAUGCAUUCCAUCUCAUAAACAAAAUUACUACAUGUUUCACUGAUGUUAGGUUCUUUGUUUCUUCUAGGAUUGGAUAGUUAUCUACGUGUUUGGAAUGUAAAGACGCGGGAACUACUCUCUGCGGUAUGUGUUUGGCUUUUAUUGUUUUUAUGUGACAAAAUUCCCCGAGUGAAAGUAACAGUUGUUGCUAUCUGUUGAAUAAAACUCUUGACAAUGUCUGAUCCGGUUGGAUUUUAUUAUUUCCUAAUUCUUAUAAUGGAAUCAUGUAUGUGAAUCUGUAAUUGUGAGUAUGAGAUUUUCAUUGGUAGACUCCAAUUUGUAAAUAUUGUCAAGAGACUUAUAAUAAAGUGGCUAGACCUAACUUAAAGCUCAAGAAUUCUUAGACAUGAACUGGCUGUUUGGGCACCCUUAGGACUUCGUGUAUAUAGUUAUGCUCUCCUGCAUACAAACAUUGUGAUAUAUAAUUAUCUAUCUAGUAUAAUCAUAGCUCAAGCUGUAAUUGAUUUUGAAAUGUGGUCAGGUGAGUAAUGAUUGAUGUGCACUGCCGCUUUUGGAAUUGUUUAAGGUUAAUUCUCUAGCUUUUUGUCUAAGCUGGUUUUUAGGAUUUAAAUUUGAAUCUAGUGCAUCGGCUCCAUAUCUAUUUCUCUGUUAUCCCUUUUAUGGUUACUGUAGUGUGUGUAUCUACUUGAUGGAACAUUCUGGUAUUUUAUUCAAGAGAUGAGGUUUUCAAAUUUCUUGAAUGACUAUAGAUCCUGAUCUGGGCACAUUCAAAGAUUUGUUAGACUAGUCUUUUCAGCUCAAAGCACUCUUUCUUAGUACCUCUCUGUUUUGAUGUGUUACAAACAAAUUUGGGGUUUUCUUGGACAUGCUUUAGAUUUGAUGUAUUUCCAGUUAAAUGUGUGCAGAUACACAUUUUCGCGGCCAAUAUAAUUUGUUAAGCUUUCUUGUUUAUUUUCCUAGUUCUUUACACUUGCCUCUUUCUUGUGCUUAUUUUCUUCAGGACUCUUGGCCAAUGUAAAUUUAGAAGAACGACCAAAACCAAGCAGCCUCAAGAAAACAGUACUCAUAAGCAAAAAUGCACUGCCCAAAUGGGAAAUCAAUGGAUUUGUGGAGUACAUCUCCGGCGGGCCUCAACCAGGCAGCAUGUAAUUUGCCGUACGUGUUCUUUUCUGUGUUUGCUUAUUCAUUUACUUCAUUUAUAUGACACUUACUGUACUGUACUGGACACUUGCUUUCAGUUAUUGUCGUUGUGUGUUGCUUUGUGUUUAUAUGUUGUUGUGUGUUGCAACAUCUAAGUGUUGUUGUGAAUUGAUGAAAUCCCAUAUGUUAUAGCUAAGUAUUGGUGUGUGUUGAUGUGUUGAAAUAAAGGGGCUUAGGAGAGUUGAAAUUGUGGGCAAGGAAUGAGCAACAAGGCCUUCUUGUCGCAAUGAUAUAGUUCUUGAGGAGAUUUGGGAGCAUGCCCGACAAGCCCAAGAGGAGGCACGACAUGCUUAGGAGGAGGCACAAAAAGCCCGGGAGCAGGCCAGAGUAGCCCAGGAGAAGAUCCUUGAUUAUGAGCGCCGUAUACAGAUGUUGAAGAAGUGUGCAGUCGCAGCCGAGCCGACAAGAAGGCCAACAGUCUAAGGUUGAUGGUUGAAGCUAGGUCCAUAGCUUUUUGCUUUUAUGGAACCCUUGAUAUUUGCUUCUUUUGUUAAACAUUGUCUAUAUAGGAUUGUAAGAGGCUAGGAUAUUAGGGAGGGUUUAAACUAUGAACUUUGAACUUGCUCUUUUGUUUGUGUAUAUAAUACCUCCUGGAAGUUUACUAGUUUUUCAGUUUGAACUUCUUUUGUUAUGAUUUUGAUUUGCAUCACAGGUUUUUAACUUUGAAUGUGAAUUUGAAAAUAUGCACAUAUAAUUACUGUGUGCAUAUCAGUAAUACUUAGAUUUUUUUAAUAAUAUAUAAUUAUAAUUUAAAAACAUAUAUAUAAAAUGUUCAAUUAAGUCUUAUGCGGCGAAAAAUGAGGAACCGUCGCCGGGGUUGGAUCCUCGCCUUAAACAUGGCGACGAUUAAUAAAUGGUCGCGUAAAAGGAAACUAAGGCGACUAUAAUUUCCCUUCGUCACCAAGUGUAGGCGACAAUAAUUUCGACGCCUAAAUAUGUCUGUUUUCCUCACCUUAGACUUAUGCGGCGAUAAAUAAAUAGUCGUCUAAGUAUCUAUUUAGGCGACCAUUAUUUUUUAUUCGUCGUCUAAGUUCUUACGGGUCCAUGCUAAGGCGAGGACUGUUAGGCGACGAAGCUUUCGUCGUGUGAGAACUUAGGCGACGAAAAUGGGCAUUUAGGCGACGAAAACUGUUUGUCGCUUAAGUCUUUUAUUCUAGUAGUGGUGGUGAAAUAUCUUCUCGAGCUUCUUGUUUUUCUUUCCGUAUAGGAAAUUAAUAUUAAUUCUUGUAUAUAUUAAUUCGAUCUUGAUUUGCAUGGCAAUGCCACUAUAUUAGCAGUAAGAUUAUUGGUCACUUAAGAUUAUUGGUCACUUUAGAAUCGACUAAAUUGGUUUUACUCAUAUAUAUCGUAACUUUCCCAUCAAUGAAAUUAAUCAAUUGCAAUUUGUUUACUUAAAAAAUUGUCAACAUUCGGGUGUUGGUGACUACUGCUAUAAAAGUGUUGUACUCGACGACAGCGACAAAUGAUGCUUUUUAGAUGACCGUGGCUGGUUGUUCGACGACAUAGUUGAUAGGAUUUCGAUCAUCACAUGGUAGUUCAUGUAUAGGUUUGGCUUUUGGGUUCCAAUUACUUGGAUUCAUUGUUUCGUUUGCUUCCAUAAUAGUAAGGGAUGCUGGAAAUUUAGGUAUCAAAGAACUAAGACAGACAUAACUCCUUAUAUAUUAAAUAUACAGUCGGGAUCAGAGGUAGACGUCCGCACACUCUUAAAGUGAGGACGUGCCUCCGUUCUCCACCGUACGGCUCCGACGACGCAGCGCCUCCACCCCAGCUGUCUCUAGCAGCGUCCCCGAUCACUUUUCCUCCCCGGCGAGUCCGCUGAAUUCCAGUUUAAAGGCGAGAUCGAUUUUGUUGGAAGUUUUGGGUGAUCUCGCCGGAAAACUGGAAUUCGGCUGACUCGCCGAGGAGGAAAAGUGAUCAGGGACGCUGCUGGAAGCCGCUGGGGUGGAGGCACGCCUUCGUCGGAGCCAUACGGAGGAGAACGGAGGGACGUCCGCACUUUAAGGGCUGUGCAGACGUCUUCUUUAGAUCCUCUCUGAUUAAAUAUAUAUAUAUACAUGUCCGUUCUGGUGCGGACGUUCGCACUCGGCUUAAAGUGCGGACGUCCGCACUCGAACGUUUCUGUGUGUGUAUAUAUAUAUAUAUUAUCUCAAUGAAGUUGCCUAAGCCUAACUAAUUUUCUAACAACAAUUCAUCAAUCAUGCACCAGAGUCCAGUGGGACUAGAUUUUCGGUGAGGAAACGGUGUGAUAUUGAUGAAAAAAAUCUCUAUAGCUUCACCUCAAUCAACAUGCGUGACACUCGUUCAUUUCAAGAACCUGGAGAUCAUAUAUAUGUCCUAAUAACAAGUUACCUUGUUGACUUAAUCGGAAUAGAACCUUUCCAACAUACAUUUUCUUCAUUACCUUAGCAAGGGAAUGUUAAGGACUAUGAUCUUAUGAGGGUCACUUAAAUAUUAUUUGAAACUUUUUUUUUUUUUUAAAUACUGACAAGGAUUAGGCGAAAUCAGCUCCUCUGUAGCAGUCUGGUGGGUGACAAAGCACCCACUCUACCCCAAAGGAGACUGCUACAACCGGGAAGCCACCACCCGUCCCUUAUCAGAAAUUUUAUUUAAAAUAAUAAAAAAAUUACAUGAAAAGAGGAAUGGGGGACUAGGCCAAAACCAUUCCAAUUACAAACCAAAACAACAUACAAAAAGACAUUGUUUCUACCCAUAAAAAACCAGGCAAUCUUCCCACUAUGAAAACCGAUAAUUAGGGAUACCCAAAUAAUCCGCUUGCAAGAAACCAUGAAGCUCAGUAGGAGGAUUAUCAUACCAAGUAAAUGAAGCAUUUGACAACCCCAAGUUUGCCAUCUUGUCAGCUACCAUAUAUUUCCUUCUCUAAAAAUAUGACUGCAACGGAAGUUCAUUUGACGAAUUAUAGAAAGAUAGUUAUUCCAACGAACUCUUAAGUUCCACGGAGGAGAAAAAGACCUGGAAGAGAAGCAAGCUACCACACUAACAAAGUCACUUUCCAACCAUAAGUAGACCCACCCUUUAUCAUGAGCAAUUUCAAUUGCCAAGAUAACAGCAUAAAGUUCAGAAUAAAAGGAACACUACCAGAAGAAAAACUUUAGCCGACGAAAAUAAAAAAACCAGGCCGACGAAUUAUUUUUUCGUCGGCUAAUUAAAAAUUUUCGUCGGCUAUAGUCAACUUUAGCCGACGAAAUUUUUAAAAGUUUAGCAGACGAAAAAUAUAAUUUCGUCGGCUAAAGUGCCUUAUAUUUGCAGAUCUGGACAACAACUCAUCUGGGAAAAAAAAACUAUAUGUAGAACCUUCAAACGCAAAAAAGUCGUGAAAUAAGAUAUGACCAGAAUGGUGAAAUACGUCUACAGUUGAAAAAACACAGUAUUCUGGUAAAGUCUCGGUGCCGAUAGUUGCGGUCAAUGCAAUUAACCCUUAUUAUUCACUAUGCUGCAGAUUUGGUUUUUGGUGUCCGAUUGACUAUUGUGAUACCUUUUCGGAAGCGUAACGGCUCUACGAGUCAAACUCAUCGCUAUUGCCAUGAAGUAUGAGCCUUUUUGGCCAUCCGAGUCCGUUUAGGGCUUCAAAAUGCAGUUUUCUUAUUUCCGAUUAGAGUUGACCGUUUCGAUCGAGCCCUUAACGUUGUCGAAUCCAGUUGAAUUUUUAACCAUAGACAUCUUUCGUCAUAAUGAUCAUAUCUGACAGUCGAAUUUUGGUUUGUAAAUUUUAGUCAUCGGAAUCACAACGUGUCUACUAUUUACUGUUAUUAUUCCCCAUAGGGAGCCCUAUCGUUGAAAGGUAAAUAUCUCAAAAUUUUUAUAUGGGCAGUUGUGUCUCAUCUACGUGAGAGUUUUUUGUGCGGAAGGUUUGACCAAACUACGUAACAUAGAGGGAGAUAUGAGCGUUUUCGUGUGAUAAGUGACGAUGGAUUAGGGUUGACAGUUUUGAUCGAGCCCUUAACGUUGUCGGAUUCAGUUGAAUUUUUUAUCAUAGACAUCUUUCGUCAUAAUGAUCAUAUCUAACGGUCGAAUUUUGGUUUGUGAAUUUUAGUCAUCGGAAUCACAACGUGUCUACUAAUGUUGUAUAAUUUAUUUAGUAGGUUAUACAACUUUGUGAACCAACUCUACAUAGGAAGCAAAAUUAUCAAAAAUCUCGUGAAAUAAGAUGUGUUCAGAAUGGUGAAAUACGGCUAUGGUUCAAAAAUCACGUAAAUCGGGUAAAGUCUCGAAGCCGAUAGUAGCGGUCAACCCUAUUUAGCGUUAUUAUUCCCUAUGGGGAGCCCUAUCGUCGAAAGGUAAAUGUCUCAAAAUUUUUAUAUAGGCGGUUGCGUCUCAUCUACGUGAAUACGUGAAAGUUUUUCGUGUGGAAGGUUUAACCAAACUACGUAAUAUAGAGGGAGAUAUGAGCGUUUUCGUGAAUUUAUAGACUUUAGCCGACGAGAUAUUAAAAAAGUCAUCGGCUAAGGUCAAAAAUUUUUGGGCUGUAAACCAAUUUGGAGGAAAAUUUUCAAAGGACUUUAGCCGACGAAAAUAUAUGAAAAGUCGUCGGCUAAAGUCGAAAAAAUUUCAAAAUUUUCAACCAAAAUUUUUUGGCGGUCAACCAAAAUUUUUCAAAAUUUUCAAAAGAGUUUAGCCGACGAAAAUAAAGAAUUUCGUUGGCUAAAGUUCUUUAUAUAGGAGUUUUACCGAAGGUGGAUGGUAAGAAGUCUAUUUCGCCUGCCAGAUUUUCUUCUCGGCCUAGCUCUGCCGUCAAGCCACCGAAGACCGCCACACUUGUCCCAAAAGUUUCGUCGUCGUCGUCUCUACUUCAUUGCUGGACAGGUGGUGCAUCGAGUGGCGCCGCCGUGAGGGAUAAAUCGAGCUCCAAAACUCCGCCGGUUCGGAUUCGGUGUCGAUCGAAUUUCUCCUUCCUCAGGUCACCAUUUGGUGAGUUCUAUAUAUGGAUAAGUUGAGUUUGAUUAGUACUACAUUCCCCUAGAAUUUGGUAGCUCGAUUCGGUGUGUGUGAGGAGAAUCGAAGAUUUGAAGUUUUUAGGGUUUAAAAUUGGGGAUUUUUAUAUUUUGAUUCAAUUGACCUGUUUAGGCUUAGAAUUGGGCUUCGACUUCUUCUAGAAAGUUGUUCUAAAUGUUGAGAGGAAGAUUCUGUCAAAUUUUGGUGGUGAUUGAAGGUGGCCGAAAAUUUCUGUAGUUUUUUUUUCAAAAACCAGCAACUUUAGCCGACGAUAUUUAAAUACUAUAUUCGUCGGCUAUAGUAUUUUUAAUUUUUUUUUAUAAGGUUUAGCCGACGAAAUAUGGUAUGUUUCGUCGGCUAUAGUUAAUUUUUAAAAUUUUUUAUAAGGUUUAGUCGACGAAAUAGACUAUAUUUCGUUGGCUAUAGUUAUUUUUUAAUUUUUUUUAUAAGGUUUAGCCGACGAAUAUCUUAAUUGUUUCGUCGGCUAAAGUUUGGGAAAAAACCCGACGACAUGUUUUUCGUCGGCUAAACUGUGGGACUAUAGCCGACGAAAUUUUUUUUUCGUCGGCUAAAGUCAUCGCCGACGACCUUUUCCCGACGAAAUCUUAGCCGUCGAAUUAAAUUAACAGGCCGACGAAAUUUUUUCGUCGGCUAAAGUGCUUGUCCUGGUAGUGUUUCCUACAUACAUUUUCUUCAUUACCUUAGCAAGGGAAUGUUAAUUAAGGACUAUGAUCUUAUGAGGGUCAUUAAUUACCUUACAUUUUCUCAGUUAUUUGAAACAUAUAUCUAUUGUUUGGAGACAAAUUUAAGUAGCAUGUGGUUUGUACGUAAGCGUAUGAUCUCUUACUAAGUCUUUUUGUUCGUGUAGUAUUGUGACGUACGUAAUGACAUCAACCAACGUGUAACACAAAGUGAUCGAGAGUAGAUAUCGAUCGAGAUCUAGAAAAAUAAUCGAUGAAACUUGUCUUGUUCAGUUCACUGCUUAACGAAAAGCAAAACCCUAAUUGUCUAUUUUAAGUACAAGUUUGAACAUGAAAUUAAUAGUUUGAGAUAUGAUCUUGAAGGGUGGAACUACUUUUGUCAUCUGGAUUCUUCUUUUAAGCAGUAUAUAUUCUUGUAGUAAAACCCAAAUUAAGUCAUAUGAAUAAGAACUAUUGUCUACACUCGUAGAAGCUCAUUCAUAAUUGUGCAUAUUUCUCCCAAACAGUCCUUAUUCACAUUAAUUUCUGUCUCCUCACAAAUAAUAUACAAGUAACAAGAGGAAUAAAAAUCCAGUAGCAAUGGAGGGAUUGGAGGGCAUCGAUCCAGACCACAAAUCAUUGGCCGGGAAAAAAAAAGCUAGGGUUUUCCAUCCCACGCAAAACACAUUGAGGAAUGUAAUGCCAAACCCCGUAAGGUUGCAGCAUCUUUUUCCCCAGUAAAGACUAAAACAUGCCAGCUACUAGUAAAGGCUCAAUAUGUGAGACUGGGAAUAUGGAAAUCAAUCAGAUGAUCGCUAUUGAGAAUCUGAGAUGAUCGAUUAUGAAAUGGUUGCACGGUUCCCAAACAACUGGAACAUUUUCUUUGUAGUUUAGCCUUUACUGAAUAGACGUACUGGACCAGUUUGCACUUGGUUUUCUAGUUAGCUAGUAGUUGAAGACAAUAGUUCAUAAAACCAGUCAUUGUUUUGCUCCUGCAGAAAUGGCACUACAUGCAUGUGAAUAUCUUUGGAAUCUUUUUAUCGAUCAUUACUACCUCCAGCAUAUAUAUAACAAAGGCAAGGGUUUCGUUAUUCGUAGUGUACACUAAUAGAAAUUUCCCCAUUGGGGACUGAUAGGAUUAAGUCCCUAUUGUGGACAAUGCACACUGAUAUAUAAGAGCGUAAAAUGCUAUUAGCACCCCUACAACCACUCUUAAGGGAUCAGUUCCCUCUAUAGCAGGUGCUAUUGGAGCAUUAGACACUGAUGAAACAUCAGUGUAAAGUUAUAUGAAAAGUUAAAAGUCUACUGGUGUCAUUGCUGCCGACGACUUUAAUUACCAGAAGAGUGCGAAUGAAGAACUGAGAUUCAGUAACAAGGAAUUUAGGAACUCAUCGAAAAGAAAAAGGAAUUUAGGAACUUGUCCUUACCACCAUCAUGAACUGAUAUUAGUUAGACAAGAAGGGAAGAUAUAUAGAGUGACAUGUGCUAAGCAAGACCUAACAUUUCGAUUCUACAAUCUAAUAAACCAGAAAGUUCGGCUGCACCAGCACCGCACCAGCACCACAAUUUAUAUCCAAAUGUUAAUGAACACUAGUCUCAACAUCGAUCUGCAAAGUGUGCCGAGUUUUUUGUCAAUUAAAACAACCAAAUGGUGUAGAAGUAGCUAAAUUUUACAUUAGGUAAAGAUUGUAAGAACAAAAUACAUUAUUGUCCCACGUUCUUCAUUUGGUUUCCUUUUCGUACGUAGUAGAACUUUUGAAGCUUGUCAUCUAUCUUUGAAGGAGUGGUGGAGCUAGCAGUAGAAGACUGGUUACACAGUAGGCUGGUACUUGUUUUUAUAUAUAGAUUCUUGCACAUUAUAACACAGUAGACCCUUUGCUGUUUCUCACCGUACGUUAGUCCAUCAUACAUUUGAUUAAGCACAUCUAGCAGAAUUUACUCAAUUUUGUUUUCAUGCAAUGCUAGAAUAAUAGAGUGAACUAGCGAGAAUAAAAUGGAAAGAAUUAUUUAUUAUAAAAUAAUUGAGUAGCCUCCUGCUACUGUGAGAUAGCUAAACUACAUAUUAUCUAUACCUCUUCAUCCAACAUUUAUAACAGAAUUAUUCUAUGCAAGGUGCCAUUUCGGGUUACCCCAAUCUCUAGUUCUUCGUCUUUUUCUAGCUCAACGUCGAGCUGCAUGCUGAGAUAAGUACACCCUGUGGCUUCUGUCGCGCGAUCGAGAAGAAGAAGAAGUAAUCUGUCGAGCGAGAAAUGGGAAAAACCUCUGGUUUCGAAAAGGAAGGAAAGAAGAAAGGAAAAUGGUCUGGUACCAGAUUCUCAAGGACUACGUCAAGAACCACGGUACAGGCAAAUGGGGCAAAAUAGCAAAGGAGAUUGGCAAGUUCAUAAUUUCCUUCAUAUAUACCUACUUUCGACAUACAUCGUUGUGCUUAAUCAAUAAUGUAAUCGCCGUUGUUUCUGAAAUUUUCAAUUAAUUCAAUUAAUUACCGACGGCCCUGUGUAGCUUACGCGGAAUUCGCAUGCAUGUAUUGGAAGCCAAAAUUACAAAUUUACGCCAGUAGCGAAUGGAUUAAUUGGUAAAUUGGUUGCUCAAUUAAUCAUUGGUUAAUUAACUGCGUGUGCAGGUCUGGGGAGAUGUGGGAAGAGUGUGAGACUGAGAUGGUUGAAUUAUCUAAGGCCCGAUAUCAAGCAUGGCAACAUUAGGGAAGAUGAAGAAGAUCUAAUUAUCAGGAUGCACAAGCUUGUAGGCAAAAGGUACUAAUAUAAUAAAUUUCUUCCUCUUAUCAUGAAAGUCCCGCAGAUCUAAUUUUAAAUUUAAGCUUAGUAUUCGUAAUUACUUACGAACAUUUGCAUAUUUGAUCAAUAUUUGGUUUCAUUUUUUUUUUUUUAAUUUUUUUAGAAUUCAAAGAAAAAAUACUUGCCUCAUUUCAGAGCUUAAUACAAAGUAGACUUGUGCAGGUGGUCAUUGAUAGCAGGAAGAAUUCCGGGUCGAACUGACAAUGAAAUAAAGAACUACUGGAUCUCCACUCUAAGUAAGAAGCUGGCAGAAGAAAAAAGAAAGAAACCAGAAGUGCCGAGAAACGAGAUUGCCAAGGAGAGCUUGCCAUCCCCCAUUGAGGUCGACGAUGGUCAUCCACAUCCGACCAUAUGCAAUGAAGUUCCUGGAGGAGGAGGAGGAUUGAUGUGUUUUGCCAGUAAUGUUAAUGUAGAAGAAGAUCAUCAGCAUCAGAGUUCUGAUACCGAUAACAGUACUACAAUGAGUGCCAGAGUGGGAGUCCGAAUCAGAGGCGUGGCAAACAAUGUUCAACCAACCGGGGACGAUCUCAGUGAUGACGCUAUGCCCUGGAACGAUUGGAUAAUGGAUCUGAACGAAGGGCAACUCGACCUAUCUGAAUUUCUCCAAACUGAUUUUUCGAACUUUUGGGAAGAAUCAGAUAUGUUCAUGAACUUUGAAGUCGGAGGUUGCAGCACCAUUAACCAUGAGUGGCCGAAUAAUUAGGGUGGUUAAAUAUCUUCCCGAGCUUCUUGUUUUUCUUUCCGUAUCGGAAAUAUUGAUUCUUGCAUAUAUUCAUUCUUGAUUUGCAUGGCAAUGCGGCCACUAUAUUAGUAAUAAGAUUAUUGAUCACUUUAGAAUCAACUAAUUAAAAGUUUUACUCAUAUAUAUUGUAAUUUUCCUAUCAAUGAGAUUAAUCAAUUGCAAUUUGUUUACUUCAAACAGUGUCAACAUUCGGGUGCUGGUGACUCUACUGCUAUGGUGCUUUUCAGAUGACCGUGGCUGGUUGUUCGACAUAGUUGAUAGGGUUUUUGGGUUUACUUGGAUUCAUUGUUUCGUAUGCUUCCAUAAUAGUAAGGGAUGCUGGAAAUUUAGGUAUCAAUCAAAGAACUAAGACAGACAUAACUCCUUAUGAAUUAUUUCAAUAUAAUGUUGCCUACCUAAUUUUCUAACUUCACCAAUCAUGCACCAGAAUCCAGUACUGGCCGGGUCAAGAUUUUCAGUGGGGAAAACGGUGUGAUGUUGAUNNNNNNNNNNNNNNNNNNNNGUUAGAAAGGGAUGAUUCUAUCUUUGGCUAAAAACCAAAAGGGAUUGAGAAUUGGUGGUUUACGAAUCUGGGUAGUUAUUAAUUCUUGAAGAUUUGUAAUUCUGGGACAAGUUCAAAUUGAGGGCCCUUCUUGAGCUGAUACGGCAGCCUUGAAUUUUCAGAGGAAGACGAACUGAACCUGUUUUUUUUUUCUUUUUUCUUUUUUUUUUGUGUGGCUGAAAACUCUGUUUUAAUCUCAGCCCUCCAACAAUGUUAAAACAAAUCAGACGGCUAUGACCCUAUCCCUUGAAAAGACCCAAAAAAAAAGGAUCCCUCAUUAAGGUAUAUGUAUGUAUGUAUGUAUGUAUAUCCCUAAUAAUAAGAAGCUACCUUGUUGAAUUGAUUGGAACAGAUCACCUUUCCUCACAUUUUCUUCAUUACCUUAGCAAGGGAAUGUUAAGGACUAUGAUCUUAUGAGGGUCACGUAAUUAUUAUUUGAAAUUAUUUAAUCUUCUUCUAAUUCAUCAAAUUUAUGUAUGCUCAAUAAUGUGCUCAAAACAAAAACAAAAACAAAAACUAGAAUUUGUCAAAGACAGAAAGCUAGCGAUGUGAAACCACAUGUCAUCCACAUAUAUCUAUUGUUUGGAGACAAAUUUAAGUAGUGUGGUUUGUACGUACGUAAGCGAUGUUACGUAAGCGAUAGACAAAUUUGAUCUAUUCUUUUUGUUUGUGUAGUGAUGUUACGUACGUAAUGACAUCAACCAACAUGUAACACAAAGUGAUAUAUCGAUCGAGAGCUAGAAAAAUAACUGAUGAAACUUUGUCAUGUUCUCUUCAUUGCUUAACUAAAACCAAAACCCUAAUUGUCUUUUUUACGUAGAAUUUUGAACAUGAAAUUAAUGGUUUGAGAUAUGAUCUUGAAGGGUGCAUGGAACCACUUUUGUCAUCCGCAUUCUUCUUUUAAGUAGUAUUAAUCUUGUAGUAAAACCCAAAUUAAGUCAUAUGAAUAAGCUCGUAGAAGUUCAUUCAUAAUUGUGCAUAUUUCUGAAAAUGACUGCAUAAAUUAAUGCAACUUUUGAAGUUUUCUCCCAAACAGUCCCCAUUCACAUUAAUUUCUGUACGUCUCCUCACAAAUAAUAUACAAGUAAACAGAUAGCGUGAGGAAUAAAAAUCCAAUAGCAAUGGAGGAGGGGAUUGGAGGGCAUCGAUCCAGACCACAACUCAAUGGCCUGAAAAAAACGAAGGAAAAAUGGGUUUUCCAUCCCAUGCAAAACACAUUGAGGCCAACACGCGUAAGGUUGCAGCAUCUUUUUCCCCAGGAAAAGACUAAAACAUGCCAGCUACUAGUAAAGGCUCAACAUGUGAAUGUGUGAAUAUGGAAACCAAUCAGAUGAUCGAUAUCGAGAAUCUGAGAUAAUGAAAUGGUUGCAUGGUUCCCAAACAACUGGAGCAUUUGCUUGUUCUUUAGCACAUACUGAAUAGUGAUAGGGGCUUAACCCUACCAAUGGAAUCGAGAAAGGGAGGAGCUAAAACUAACAGAAAAUGGAAAGGAAAUUGCAAUUUUUGAUAUUCGAUGGCUGCCUGAAACCCUAGAACAGCCUUAAAUAGGUACAAAAGAGAGAUGAGAUCUUGACACCUGUCAAGCAUCUAUCGGAUCAAAACAGUAAACCUAGCUUAACUAAUUAACCAAACUGACCAACUGAUUACAAUCAAAACAACAUCAAUUAGCUUCAAUUGACUACUUGUGGACUCCUACUCGGCCCAACUCAAGCAACAACCAUAUCUACGGCCCACUAGGAAACCAGCAGCAGAGACUUGCAACAUUCCAUCCCGGUUCCACCACAAACUUGUCCACAAGUUUGAACUGCUCAAAAUUUAAAGUCUGGAUAACGCUGCAUAAUAUCCUUAGCGAAUUCCCAAGUAGCCUCUUCUCUAGCCGUCCCCAUCCAAUGAACAAGCCACUAAGUUGCUGCUGCCCCCUUGUGUUUGAUCAUCCUUGUUAUUAAAACAGCCUCAGGGACCCAUUUAAGAGUAGACGAAUCCCUGACAUCUGGAAGGGUAGCCUCAGCUGUGACAGCAUGCCCAAUUCUCUUUUUGAGGAGGGAAACGUGAAAGAGGUUAUGGAUUUUUGCUGUAGCUAGAAGUGCCAACUUGUAUGCCACUGCUCCGAUCUUCUCCAGUACCUGAAAAGGACCAUAGUACUUUGAUGCCAACUUAUGAAACGCACUGGUGCUGACUGAAGUCUGUUUAUAAGGCUGGAGUUUCACAUAGACCCAGUCCCCAACUUCGAAUGAUCUCUCUGUGCGAUGCUUAUCAUAGUAUGCCUUCAUCCGGUUCUGAGCUUGAUGGAGAUUUCGUUUGAUCAACGCUAAGAGCUCGUCUCUACUUUGGAGUUGUGCAUCCACGUCUGCCACAGCAGUAGAACCAGGUGUGUACGGUUUAAUGGCAGAGGGAGCAUAGCCAAACAAAGCUUCGAAAGGUGUCAUUUUCAGAGCUGAGUGGUAGGCACUGUUAUACCACCAUUCAGCCCAAGGGAGGGCAGCUACCCAUUCAUGAGGUUUGUUUCCAGCAACACAGCGUAGAUACUGCUCCAAUGUCCGAUUGAGGUUCUCGGUUUGACCGUCCGUUUGGGGGUGAUAUGCUGUUGACUUGUUCAAAGUAGUACCUUGCAGUCUGAAAAACUCCUCCCAAAAUAAGCUCAUGAAAAUGGGGUCACGAUCUGAGAUAAUAGCAUCUGGCAUACCAUGUAAACGGAAUACUUCUGUAACAAAGAUCCCUGCAAGCGCCACUGCAGUGUAUGGAUGAGAAAGAGGUAUAAAAUGAGCCACUUUGCUAAACUUGUCCACCACAACCCAGAUGACAGUUUUUCCUUGUGAUUUUGGCAAAGCCUCGAUGAAAUCCAUUGAAAUAACGCUCCAUGCUCUCUCAGGGACUGGAAUUGGUCGCAGCAGCCUCGGAGGUCUAAUAGACUCAUAGUGGUUUUGCUGACAUAUAUCACAAUUAGCUACAAAUAGCUUCACAUCCCUUUGUAGUCCUGACCACGCAAAAUUUUUUCUCACCCUCAUGUAAGUGCGAGUCCUACCAGCAUGCCCUCCCACCAAACCACAAUGGAACUCUUGGAUCACCUUCUGCCUCCAAUUGUCAAUAUUUGGUACAAACACUCUUCCUUUAUACAUCAACUGAGAAUUAUGCAGUGAGAAGUGUUUCUUGCUGUGGGGUGAUUCUUGGAGAGUUCGAAUCAACUCCACCAAGGUAGCAUCAGUAAGACAUGCCUUCUGUAUCUCACUCACAAACUCAUGAGUUGGUAUAGACACUCCCAUAAUAGCAUUAAGAGCUGCAGAUCGAGACAAGGCAUCUGGUGCAGCGUUGUUUUUUCCCGUUUGUAGUGGAUGGAGUAGUCAUACCCGAGGAGUUUCAGCAACCUUUUUUGUUGAGAGGGUGUGGUUACUCGCUGGUUGAGGAAAUGCUCAAUAGUCUUGUGGUCGGUGUAAAUGGUGAAAUGAUGGCCUAGAAGGUAUGGUCGCCAAUGCUCAACAGCAGUCACUACAGCCAACAUCUCUUUGUCAUAAACCGAAAGAGAGAGGUGUCUUUGGGAGAGAGCCUUACUCAUAAAGGCAAUAGGAUGCCCUUCUUGACACAACACUGCCCCAACUCCCACAUCCGAAGCAUCACACUCGAUAGUAAAGGGUUUUGAGAAAUCAGAAAAAGCUAGUACAAGAGUUGAAGUGAGAGCUGCUUUUAAUUCCUCGAAGGCCCUCGUUGCUCCCUCAUCCCACUUAAAUCCAUCUUUCUUAAGUAGACUGGUGAGAGGCUUUGCAAUCAGACCAAAACCCUUAACAUAUUUGCGGUAGUAACCGGCAAGACCAAGGAAACCACACAGCUGCUUGAGAGUCUUGGGUGUUGGCCAAUUCUUCACACAUUCUAUCUUUGAGGGAUCAACAGACACACCUUUGCCACUAAUAACAUGCCCCAGGUACUCUACUUGGGAGACACCAAAACUGCACUUGCUUUCUUUAACAACCGAAGAAUGCUGUUGUAAAAUUUGAAACACCAUUUUCAAAUGUUGUAAAUGGGCUGAGAGGGAAAGACUAAAGAUGAGGAUGUCAUCUAAGAAUACCAGAACACAUCUCCGCAAGAGUGCUCAUAAGACAUCAUUCAUCAAGGACUGAAAUGUUGAGGGGGCGUUGGUGAGGCCGAAAGGCAUCACCAAAAAUUCGUAGUGACCGGUAUGAGUCCGGAAGGCAGUUUUAGGAAUAUCAGUCUCAGCCAUCCGAAUUUGGUGAUAACCUGCCCUCAAGUCCAACUUUGUGUAUAUCGUUGAACCAUGAACUUCAUCGAUCAACUCAUCCACCACAGGGAUAGGGUACUUGUCUUUAACUGUGGCAGCAUUUAGAGCUCUAUAGUCGAUACAAAGUCUCCAUGAACCAUCCUUCUUUUUUACCAGCAACACAGGAGAAGAGUAGGGGCUUGUGCUCGGCCUGAUCACACCAUUGGCUAGCAUUUCUUGCACUAUCUUCUCUAUUUAUGUUUUCUGGAAACGAUAAGGUCUCACGCUAAUGGGGGGGAGUGUUGGGCACUAGCUCAAUCUUAUGAUCUUGUGCUCUAGAGGGAGGGAGGCUGCGGUGGGGGGGGGGGGGGGGGGGGGGUGCGCAAAAACAUUUGCAUAUUUGGCCAACAAAGACUUGAUGGUAGGAUGGACUUCUGGAUUUUUCCGUUCAGCAGCCAAAGAGUGUACUUGAACAAGGACUGCAUCUUUCUCUUUCCUCAAUAACUUCGUCAUAGUUUUACAACUUACAACCAAAGCUUCUGGUGUUGUCACUACAAAAAAGAAUUCAUUUAGCCACCGAAAAUCGCCACGGCUCGGAUUUGCCGUGGCCAUUGAUCCUAAAUUUGCGACGGCGAAGCGACGGUAAACAUACCGUCGCUAAAUAAAAACCAGUUUGCGACGGCAACAUCUUGCCGUGGCUAAAUAAUGCAAAAUUCGCGACAGCAAACUAGCGCCGUCGCAUAUGUUUUUAUCAACGGCGACGACAGGUGAGUGCCGUGGCAAAAAAACCAAUUUUAUUUCUGAUUUGCUGCUACGGUUGCUUUCGUCGUCGCCUGUGUUCUUUCACUGUUAAUGGAAGGCGCCAAUUAUCCCGCUUUCCAUUUUGACAAAAAACAUCAAUUUUACAUAACCCUCAUUUUUACUCUCUCUUCAGACAAAACCCCCAUCCCACAAACCUAAUUCCUGUCUUCUAGAAAUCGCCGGUCCUAACCCCAUAACCCCUAUUUUGUCAAAUAUGUUGAAUGAAAAUUGGGGUUGGUCGUGAGAAACACAAAUCAUCGACUGUGGAAGGAGAGCUUGUCGACGGUGGUUGUGGUCAUCGGGAGGAGAGGUUUUCGGUUUUCAUCUGACCGGUGGCGGUACAAGACUGUAUUGAAUUGGCGGCGGCGGGUUUGCACUGGUGGCGGGUUUGCGCUGGCAGUGGCUUCUUCGGUCAAGUCGUGUCGAAUCUCUAGAGGUCGACGGCGGCGGCUUCUUCGGUCAACCCUAAUCGCCCAUCUUUUCCCUGCUCUUCCCUGCUCGAGCUCGCAGAAGGUACUCUCUUCCCUGCUCGAGCUCGCGCAUCUCUUCCAUGCUCUUCCCUGCUCGAGCUCGCAGAAGGUACUCUUUUCCCUGCUCGAGCUCGCAGAAGGUACUCUCUUCCCUGCUCGAGCUCGCCCAUCUCUUCCAUGCUCUUCCCUGCUCGAGCUCGCCCAUCUCUUCACUGAUUUUUUCGAUGCGUUUUGUGGUUUUGUGAAUUGGGUUUGAGUUGGUUUUGUUUUGGAUUUUUUGAUAGGUUCCAGAGGGGUCUGAAGCGCAAGCCCAUUUAAUGAUCAAGAAGCUUCGCAAAGCGGUGAGUUUUACUGUUAUUGGUUUGAUUGGUUAUGGUGAAUGAAAUAUGUUGUUGUGAUAGAUUGGUCACAUUAUCGUUCAAGUAUUGAAAUUUUUGACUCAUUGAGCAGUUUGUUUGGAGCUUACCAUUCUAUUCGCAAGUUUAUAUUAGAAUUUGUUCAUUGAGCAAUAUAUAUGUACCGACGAUAUAGGAAACUUUUGAAGUUUUGGAGUUGUCAUUGAUUGACUGUAUUAUAUUUAUACCCUCUAAGAUUAGUCUGUUGAUGGUAGGAAGAUAAGGUGCGUGUAAGACAGUUUAUGCCUUCUUUAGUUUCCUCAGAGUUGAGGAAGCUAGCUAAUUGCCUAUCCUCAGAAUGUUAUUUAAUUCCUGGCAACACUACUGUUGUACAACAUAUUCCAAUUGUUUGUUUAGUUGAAUGAUAUGUUCUGUGGUGGCAUUCAUUGUUGUUGGUAUUGAAACCCCUAUGUGUAUUGGUUAAUGACUUUGUAGAGGAACGGUUUGUGUUUUUGUUUAUCCUCAGUUAAAGAGAAAUUGAGCAGUAGAAUGUGUGAGAAACUUGACUGUAACAAAAUCAACAGAACUAGAGAAUACUUCGGAAGUCCGAAUUACCCUAUACUCUUAAACUCUCACCAAAUGCCACUAAGAAACCAAAUAGGUCACAUGAAGCCGAGGCCCCGUUUUCAUAGUUUCACUCUUCAUUACAUGAUCAAGUACUUUUUCAUAGUCUUUUUAUUUCAUAGUAUAUGUGGGACAAGUAAAAAUGGGAGUUCAUAACUGAAUGUGGUUGAAGUUUUGUUUUCAUUUUCACGCUUUUCUAUUUGUAGUUUUGUUCAUUCCGUCUUUUCUCUCUUUCCUCAAUUUAGUCUCUGUUAUUACUCUCAAUUUAGUCUCUGAAAACUGAGUCAGUAAAUUAAGUGGUCCACUAACAAUCUCCCAGACCUUCUCAUACUAGUUGUUCUUGAGAACUGGUGAUAUAUUGUUCUUGAGAACUAGUGAUAUGAUUUUUUUUUUUCGUUUUUGUUAAUUAGCUUGGGCUGUUAUACACCAGAUGGGUUGAAUGAAUAUUUAAUGAGAUUUGCUGCUGAGUUUGAUUAUUAAUGUCGAGUGAUUUGUGUCUUUAGGUGUUGUAGUAACAGAAUUUAGUUUGACAAUUUGAAACAUGAACACUGCCAGUAAUUCAUUGUUCUGAACUUGUCACUUCAGUGUGGUGAUAUUACAAUUUGUCCACCUUUUCUAUUAUGGAUAGGAACUCUGUUUUAUAUGAUUGAGAAGUUUUAUGAUACAUUUACAUUGAUACUCCCACCAAAGAUUCUCUUGACACACGACUGAUUGCCAAAUCUAUGUUUGAAAGACCUUUAUAUAUAUGUGUAUUUUAUGCAAUGGCAUUACUUAAGUAGAUUAUCAUUAAUUUCAGUUAGAGUUGUAGGCUUACAGGGAGAGGAACUGUUGAAUUUACCAUUGAAAAAGGUGACAGUUCAACAUUUGCUCCAGAAGCUGGUGGUGAACCAAGAAAGACAGCCAGUAUUCAGGUAUAAUGAAUACUAUCUAUCUAUCUAUCUCUCUCUCUCUCUCUCUCUCUCUCUCUCUCUCUCACACAAAAAUUUGAUAUUUCCAAAUGUAAAAUGUAUGCAUGGCACCCAAAUUUACUUUGAAAAUAUUUAAUGUCCAAAACUGAUCAGUAACUUGUGUACAGGUUGUUAUAGAUAGUUAUUCAGCACCAUUAACAGCGGGUAAUUUCGCAAAACUGGUUAGGUAGUUGAACACUAGAACCUCACAUUGGCUUCAUGCAAUUAUCUACAUUUGUGAAUAGAUGUGCUUAUCAGUGCUUUACACCUCUAAAUUUUCAUCCUCACUGGUUCAUCCAUAUGCUAUAAGGAUAACUGGGUAUUCUGUGAAAAAAUUAUGUUAAAGUUUGAAGUCUUUUUGAGUAUCUGAUAUCUUUUUAUAGUGCUUACUUUUGUCAAUUUGGUCAGUGUUGUAAUGUUAGUUACUAUUGGUUUGAGGUUGAGGUAGACUGGAAUAAUUACUGUAUUUUUUUUUACUGCGGCAGGGGAGUGUGGAGUGGGGGAGCACAAGAGUAAAGUUGCAGGGAAGAUGCAUGGAUGUGGACAUGAUGGUCAUGUUGCCAUGCUUCUUGGAGCUGCUAGUUUACUUCAAGAGUAUCGCCACAAAUUACAGGUCUCUUUCCUGGUUUGAAUUCUAUGCAUUGUGUUUAGAAGAGUGGUUUCAUUGUAAAGUUGGGUUUUUAGGUUUGUUAUUCCAUGUGUUGCAUCAGUUCUUGUUCUUAUGGACUUCUGUUACUUUAUAUAGCAAUUGUAGGUUUGAAAGUAGUUGUCUUUAAACAAAACAUCAAGGCUAAAAUGUAAAUAUUUAAAACUAUAUAUGGUCAGAUUUGGAAAGUUCCAGCGUAUGAGCGUGGAGGUGAGGUUAGGGAGAUUAUUAGGCCUUGGGGUUGUCUACAAUGGGCUCCUGGUCUAGCUGUCUAUUAGAAUUAUAUGUCAACUUGUUAUGUCAUCUAUCUGACUGCGAACAACCUUUAACUAAUAAAAAAGACAAAGAGCGAUAGAAAAUGACCUUUCAUACUGAAAUUUGCAGAGUUUUGGAGUCCAUAUUGGAACUACAUUUUGAUGUGGCCAGCUAUAAAAGUUGAUACACUAGCUUAAUCUAUAGAUUGCAAAGUGUGUGCAUUCUCUAAGUAGGCUUCUUGANNNNNNNNNNNNNNNNNNNNGAAUGGCUGCGAGUGGAUUUUUUGAAGCCUUGAUAAGUGGGAAGGGGGGUCGUGCUGCAAUUCCACAGCACACAAUAGAUCCUAUCUUGGCUGCUUCCAAUGUUAUUGUUAGUCUGCAGCAUCUUGUUUCACGUAAAGCUGACCCCUUAGAUUCACAGGUUUGCUCGCUUUCUCUCUAUUCUCAUAAUAAGGUCAUUGUCAAGUCUAUGUUCCCCUCCUAUUGCAGCUUGAUUAUUCAAAUACAUGUAUCUGUAAGUUCACAUGUGUUAGCGUUAGUCUACAACAUCUUUCACUCAGCACAUAGUAUGUGAAAUAUUAAUCCCCUUAGUUUCUUCAUGUGUGUGGGGAAAUGGUACUAUACAGAACAAACAUGAUAAGUAUUGGAAAUUGCCCUUUUUUUUUAUUAUGAAUAUUUUUGAAGUAUGGUUUAGUAUGAAUUAGGGUGAAAGUGCUUGAUUUACUUGAAUCUAGAUAUGGUUUUAAGCAUUAGGGUCAAUGCUUGAGCAUGCAAUAGGUUUUUGUUUUCACCUUUCACUUCAAAUCAGACAACUAAUUGUAGAAAAUGGUCUCAUUUAUGCAAUAGGUACCAGCUGAUGCAACAAGUGGCCAUAAGGCUAGGAGGGAGUCCAUAUGAGAGGGAGAUCCUGAGGCCACUACCCAUUUUGAUUCAACUUCUGAUGAUGUCACUGGUCACCAUGAUCCUCCUGCAUGAUUUAGGUUUAUGUCAUAUUGUUGUGUUUUAGAAUGUGUUAGAACAAAAUUAUGUUGGAAUAUUAUUGUCCCUUUAUGAAGCUCUUUUUAUUGUUGUAGCAGUUUGUUGGUUUGGUUUAGGUUCCAUCAUGUGGAAUAAUGUUUAUGUUAGAUAAUUUGGUUAUGAAAUGAAUUUUGGUCAUUGUGUUGUAUUUUGUUGGAAUGAAUGAUAGUUGAUGGUGGUGUUAGUACCUUGUUGAUUAUGGUUGUUGCUAUUGUGGAUUGAAUGAGAUUUGAAUUUGCAGCUUUCUGGUAAAAAUGAGAUUUGAAACAGUUGUGGUAACAAUUUCUGCAGUUGGCGACGGCAGAGUCCCGUCGCAAAUGGUUUUGGUGGGAAAAUUCAAAAAUUUUAGUUCAGAUCUGAAAUUUUUAAAAUAUCACAGUGACGGCGAUUGCCGUCGCCAAUAUUGGUAUUUGUGACGGCAAGUUCAGUAGCCAAUUUCCGUCGCUAAUUAAGCGACGGUCUUUACAGUCGCUAUUUGCCGUCGCAAACAUGGUUGUGACGGCUCACUGCCGUCGCCAAAAGCAACGGCCACACCCUCAACGGCGACGGGAAAAAUGCCGUCGCCACGCCGUCGCCGUUGGUCUUUUGCGACGGCAGAAUGACUUUUGGCGACGGCAUUUUGCCGUGGCUAACUGAAUUAAUUUUUGUAGUGUGUUAGUCCCUGCAAACAGAAUGUAUGCCCUCCAAUCUGAAACUUCAUCAUCAUAGUCUCAAAAUUCCACAAUAUAUCCCCAAGAGUUUUGAGCCAACUUGCCCCCAUUACAACCCAUUACAACUUCACAACCUGAUAUAGGUAGAACAUAGAAGGAAGUGGUUAGGGUUAAACCUUGCAAUGUAAUUUCAACCUUUACCUGCCCCUUAGUGUACAUAAUCGAUCGCUUCACUAGCAAGCCGGACUCUUAGAGGACUAAUUUUUUGGACCUCAUGCUUCGAUGCCUUGAGCGCUGCAGGGUGCACAAAGUUGUGUGAUGCCCCCGAAUCAAUUAGGACAUGCACUGCCUUGUUCAGAAUUUUCCCUUUGAGUUGCAUGGUUGAAGUGGCACUACCAUCUCCCAUAGCUCUGAGCUCCACCUCAUCAUUAUCUUCCACAUUAUCCAAUUGGUCCAAAUCAUCAAUGAUAGGAGGAGGUAACACGUUAGGAGGGAGUUGUGGAACUUCAUCUUGUAAUACCUCAAUAACCAUGAUGGCCUGUCCUCGCCGACAAUUGUGUCCCGGUCGGAAGAGCUCAUCACAGAAAAAACAUUGGUUCCGGGAUCUACGCUCCUGGUAUUCAGCUUGUGUGAGUCACCUAUUUCCUCCAAUAUUCCUUGCAGCCCCUGGAUUGGCUAAAGCAGGCAUAUUCUGAGCUCUCAGUUGUGGCGGAGGAGGGCCUUGAGCACGCGGGGGAGCUACUGGAGGCAUAAGAGCUUGUCGCCUUGGUAACCCUGUGACUCUUUGAAAUCUCUGCUAGGUAUCCCCUCCCUCAAACAGUUUUGCCAAUUCACACGCUAUAUAGAGUGUGGAAGGUCUAUGUGCCUUGACACCCGUUCUGAUGUAGGGCUUCAAACCCUCAAUAAAAAAUGACAGCAGUGCCUGUGGUGUGAACCCCUGGUGCACGCCUUGACAGCUUAGUAAACUGAUCCAUAUACAUAUCCACAGACCCUACUUGAGAAAUGCGAGCAAGAGCAGCCUGGUAUUCACCGAAAUUAUGCACACUGAACUCACGCAUUAGUAACUCGGCUAAACCACUCCAAGAGUUUGGAAAUUCAUGUUUGAACAUGAACCAGUGAUCAGCAGCUUUAUCCACUAAAUGCAAGGCUGCUAUAGCUACCUUCUUCUCGUCUGGCACUUGAUAGAACUCAAAAAAUUGUUCGGCCUUGUGCAACCAUUCAACAGGAUCUCCACCCCCAAAGGUCGUGAAAUCUAACUUCAUUUGUCUCAUGGAGGGAAGACUGGGAUCAUGGCUUGAGAAAUUUGGGUUACCUUGGUGGAAACUUUGUUGUUGAUUAUGUGUGUGAGAGGGACUACCAUUGCCAUGGUGUUGGGAAUGGGGGUUUUGAAUGGUUGUGGUAGUGGUAGCAUAGGUAGGGUGAGAUUGAGAAUGGCUUUUUAUGUUUGGAGACUGGUGCAUUUGGGAAUGGGGUGUGUUGCUGGUUGUGGGGAAGGGGGGUGGGCCAAAAGUUGCAGCAGUGUUGUAAACAUCAUGUGAGUAAUGACGUGAAUGGGAUCUGUUGUGUAGAAGCACACAUGGGUUGGGACACCAAAGGAGCACCAAGGUGUUGUUGUGCCUCAUUAUGCAAACCCCUACCAUGGUGGUUAAAAGAGUGAGCUCCUCCAUCAGUGUGUUGAAAAAAUUGAGUCAGGGGUUGCUUUCCAUUGUUUUGACCACUCGAUUCUCCUCUAGCAUGAUUAGACAAACUCAGAGGGUCACCAACAGUAAGUUGCAUCAAGGGUUGGGAAGAGGACUCAAGAGCUGUGUCACACUCACUCAUGAAACCAAGAAGCACAUCAUUAUCUCCAAGGUUCAAAGGAUGGCGUGCCUUGGAUACACUGCCUGCAGAGUUGAGCAGAGACAUAGCUGUUGAGAUGCCAUCAGUCGACGACGGAGUGGUCCCUCUUUCAACUAACGUCGGAGACCCAGAGGUUAAUGGAAGCGACCCAAAGCGCAGCAUCGGAUUCGCCUAUAAUGAUUGUACUUCAUAGUUGUAUCAGUGGCUGCCUCUAGCUCAGCGGUCUUCCAGUUUUAUCUGUUAGGUUCUAGUUGCAUGCAAUGUUUCUUGUUGUAAUGUUUUGGUUUACUAGUCGAAAAAAAGAAGAAGGAAGAAACAAAAAAGGGUAAGCUGACUCAGUACCAUUUGAUCUAAUGACAUAGUCUCCUCUUAAUAAGUGGGAGGUUGUGAGUUUGACUCACGAAGUUGUAUUAUGUGAUAAAAAAAAAGGGUAAGCACUUGUGUAAUUCUAAUUAGAUGGGGUGGUUAAUUAGUUUAGUUGAAACUUGAAAACCAAUGCUUUUACUAAAUCUUUCUACUUAAUCAUAUGCGUACUGCGAGCGUGUAUCAUGUAUGUGAUGUAUAUAUGUCAUCUAUGACAGUUUGUUUUUGGUUCUUGUAGUAUGUAACAUCAAACAACGUGCAAUACAAGAGUAGACAACAAAAAUAAUUGAUGAAACUUGUCUUGUUCACUUGAGUGCUUGAAAAUCGAUCAAAACCCUAACCUUGUCUUUUCCGUCGACGGCGAGAUAAGUGGUUUCUAUUAGAAAGCUGUUUAUAUCAGCAGAAGACAAACUCGUUCAGACCAGAUAAGAUUCUGUGAUCCCCAUUUGGGAAGGUGUAGGGCAUGUACUUGAAAAUUACACCAUAUGCAGUAGUGCCCGGGCCUUCUUCUACAGUUCUACGUACGUAUUUUCAUUUCAGAAUUCACAUGAUGCAUACAUGGGAUAUGGGAGUCAGAGAAAUUAUCCUUUUACCUACGUACUCGAUCUGUUGGCUUGCAUGCCUCUCCAGAAUUUAAUAGCAAAAUUGUGAGCUCUUAUUAACAACUUACUGAGAGUGAAAGAGAGGGAAAGAACAAGAUGAGUAUGAUUUUGCAGGAAGUGUUCCACAUUUUAUAUUCUUUCCUUUGAAGAAUGUAAUCGAUUCUUCCUUUUGAUUCUGGGUUGUUGGAGAAAUUUUAGUCAUCAUCAUCACCAUGUACGUUCUUCUCCUAAGUCUUAAGUACACUCUUGUAAGUUGUAAUUAUAGCUAGAUGGGGUGCGGGGUUUAUUAGUUAACUUGAGGCAAAUGUUUGUACUAAAUCUUCGUAGAUACGUAUGUCGUUGCUGACACAAAACAACAUGCAUGCCACACAGAGUGAGAUCAUGAAGAGACGUCCGAUUCCAACAAAAUGAUAUAGGAGCGAAACUUUUCUUGUUCACUUCAUUGCUCAAAAAUCAAAAUCCUAGCCAUAUAUAUUCGGUCGACUGCGAUGUAAGCGGUUAGUGUUAUAUAUAAAGCUCUUAUAUCAAAUUAUCUUUGAAGCAGGAGAUCGACAUGCAAAGCCAUUCAGACCAAAGAUUAGUGAUAAAGUUAUCAUGGAUUCCCAAGUAUCACAUCAGCAAAUGUAUCAUAGAUCAAUCUAAGAAUGAAAAUUAACAUGAUAUUAACAUGCACGUUAAUAUAUGACCUAAAGUGGAACCACAUUUUUCUUUGAUUAUUCUUGCAUGUAAGACCCGAGAUAUGAAGGAUGAGAACUUUUCUUAACAUUCAUUAAAACUAAAUCACAAUGCAUUCUGAACAUGAUUGCACAAAUAUAACUUAUUGAUGUUUUGUUCCUAAAAACUAUAGGCAUUCACAUUUACUUUUACGAACGGAAAACGCUAUCACGCAUAACUAAAACUCCAAGAGGAACGAAUUUUCUUUCUUAAGCCAUGAAAUCAUUCCGUCUCAUAAAUGCUUUUUUCCAGUAGGCGAUAUGGAUCCAGACCACCGGAAAAUAAAAGGCGGUGGAUUAUUCACACUGAAAAGAAAAAGAAAAGGAAAGAAGAGGUUUUCACAUCCACGCGAAACAUAUGGAGGGAACAGGGAAGUAGUGCCAAACUAUAUGGAUAACGCUGCGUGAAGUCGCUUGUCCAUCUUGUACGUUACACUGUUUUUUUUUCUCCCAGUAAAGGCUAGAACAUGCAUAUAUGUGCCUGUAUAGAACCGAAAGAGCAAAGGCUGAACAUGCAUGUGAAUCCAAGAUAUUGAAGAUCAUGGAGCAUUCGCUUGGAGUUUUGUAAGUUAUUGAAGAUACGCACUGGACCAGUUUCCAGUAUUAUUGUAUAUCUUUAGCAAAGUUGAAGACAAUACUUAAAAUCACUCGUUGUUUUCACACCUGCAGAAAUCCCAGUACAAAACCCAAAGAAUCAGUAGUAACUGUAAGAUAGCUCUAGCAAUUGUAUAACAUAACAAGUCACAAGAUAUAUAUAAAAGAGAGCUUGCUAAUUAACUAACAAAAAAAAUAAAAAUUAGAACCUAUGUGCUAGAUUAGUUUCAUUUUCUUUUUUAAAAUAACGGUCUCAAGAUGAAUAGUUGAUUCAUAUUAUUCAUACUGGGCUCCGAAUGAUAGAAAUUAAGAUUUAUUGAAUUCAAAGAGCAUAAACAUAAAGAAAACACAAAAAGUGCUUUGGACUACAACACUAGUUUGUGAUACUCUCAUUAUUUGAAAUCAAACUCUUCUAUCAUGAAAAACAAGCCGGCCUGUUGUAAAUGUGAGAUUUACCCCUUUUUUGAAGCUUCUCUCUCAGUUUGAAAAAAAAGCAUCUUCAAGAGGAGGGAAUGAGGGAUAUACUUCCAUUAGGUUCACGUGUGUAUUUCUGUGGCAAUGUGAACCCUACACGUGGCAUGAUCUUGUAGAAACGGAGCCGAUUCUGAUAUCUAAAUAGCUAUAAAUAGGGCGCAUUGCAAGAGCAAAAACACCAACAGCAAACAGAAGCCAUAAGCCAUAAGUUACAUAUCCUUGUUCGAUCUCUGCCUUUUAGCCACUAUCAUCAUGCUUGGCCUAGUAAACAAGGUGGCCUCAGUAAUCCACCACCCUCAUAGCCCGUUUGCCAAGUCUGACAAGAAGAUCUUGGAUGAUAUUUACACUACUCAUGUCCAUGCUGAUGAUUCAUUCGACGACGAUUCUCUUUUCAUCAUUGUUGAGAGUAUCCUCAAGCGUGCAACCCAAACUGUCGAUAAAAUUGUGCAGGUACAAAUCACACAUAACAUGUAACACGAUUACAUAUGCCUUGGUCGAUUUUUGCAUACGUACAAUAUAUAUUUACGCAAGAAUGACCAAGCUAGGAUGUUCUUAAUUUGCCUAAGAGAAGCUGUCUUUUUCUGUUGUUGGUAGUGACUAGCUGCAUGCUACAUUCUUGUGGUUGUUGCAGGGUACCCAAGUGCAUGUGGAAGACAUAGAGGAGCAAACUCCCAAAGCCAACUUCAGUGUACCAUUGUGCACGCUUAAGGGAAUCUCCUGCGAGGUCCAUCCGUCCAUAUAUAUACGAUACCAGCAAAAAUUAAAAAAAUUCCAAAUUAAUUGUUGUUAAUUGCUCGUUGAUUACAUUUUCCAUAUAUAUAUUGAAUAUUUCUCUAAUUUCAGAUGCAAUGCAAGCCUCCUGGUGAAGAAAUCGCCCAUGAGACAACACUGGCAAUACUACACAAGCUGUCAAAGUAUUCAUGGGAAGCAAAGGCAUCACUGACCCUAGCAGCUUUUGCUAUGGAGUUUGGUGAAUUCUGGCUCCUUGCAGAGCUUCGUGAAUCAAACCACCUUGCCAGGUCAAUUGCAAUUCUCAAACGACUCCCUGUUCUCCUCAAGCCUUCUCAGCUGCACAAGCGCAGGCAAGCAAUACUUGAGCUUAACAAUCUGAUCAAGGCCACACUGGAAGUCAUUACAUGCAUCGACCAGUUCAACAAGAUUUCCAUUUAUGACCUGAAAGAUGUCCCCGAGUUGUCGGGAACAUUGGAUCAUGUUCCGGUGGACGUAUAUUGGGCUAUCAUGACUGUUGUGGCUUGUGCCACUAAGAUCACACUACUCACUAGUGAUGAGUAAGUUCCUCGAUCUCCAUCGUUUUAAAGAAUUAGCUAAUUACUAUACUCACUGUUGUGGUGUAAGCAUUGUUCCUGGAGAUUGAAUUUGUGUACCGAUUUACGAUAUUUACCCUAUUUAAUUUGCCAUGCACAUAUUGUUUCAGGGACAAAGAAUUUGACCUAUCUCCCUAUUCUCAAAAGAUCCACUUUGUCCUUAACAAGCUCAAGACACAGCUAACAAUUUGCAGAGCACGAAUUGGUGGGUUAAUUAAUUGCAUAUUUUUUAUUAAUUGAGGUUUACAUUAGUUCUAUAUGUGUACUCAUUGAAACGAAAUUUGAAGCAAUUUUAUUGUUGUCUAAUGCAGAGUUCAUAGAAAAUUAUAAAAAGCUCAAGAAACUGUUCCGAACACCUACUGAAAUUAUGGAAAUCUUUAAGGGUUUGUUAUUUACAAAGGAUAAUGUCCAGCCACUCGUUGAUUGUUCCACUAAACAAACGGUUUGUGAAUCAUCUAUAGUUCAUUUCUCUACAAAUUGUAACAACAAUAGUGAAACUUAAUCGUGCCUAACUCUUUAACAGGUGAGCAUCGAAAUCCUAAGGAGGAAGAAUGUGCUAUUCUUCAUUUCCAGCCUCGACAUUACGGAUGACGACAUUUCGAUUCUGAAACCGGUCCACGAGUUCACAAAGAAAGACAAUCAGUAUAAGAUUGUGUGGAUACCGAUUGUGGAGCAAUGGACCGAUGAGCUGAGAAAGAAAUUUGAAAUCCUGAAGAACAAGAUGCCGUGGUAUACGGUGCAGUACUCUGGACCUAUUGCAGGCAUCAAGUUCAUCAAGGAGGAGUGGAACUUCAAGGGUAAGCCAUUACUGGUAGUGAUGAACCCACAAGGAAAGGUCGAACACACUAACGCUCUUCACAUGAUUCGGGUGUGGGGAGUCAAGGCCUUCCCUUUCACAGAGACGAUAGAGAAAGAGCUGUCAUCAGAUUCUCAUGGAGGAAUUCACUCUAUAGUUGUUGACGGAAUUCACCCUUCUGUGCCAUCUUACGUAAUUCACCUCAACCGAUCAAAGCGCAUAUAUAAAUUCACGAGUUAUUAUUUAUAGUAUUGCCUAUAUAUAUAUUACUUUUGACAGUGCAUUACUACAUCAAUACAUACAUUACAUAAUAAUGAACUAGGAGAGUAGGGUCAUCUCCAUUAUUGACAUAUUUUCACUACAUUCACCUGAAACGAUGAGAAACUUAUUCAAUUUGUUAUCCUCAAACAGAUCAGAGAUAAUAAGUACAUCUUCUUCUAUGGCGGUAAGGACAACGAAUGGAUUCAGCAAUUCACAAAGAAAGCAACUGCCCUUGCAAACGAUCCUAUCUUGAAGGAAGCAAAGAUUUACAUAGAGUUGGUUUGCGUUGGAAAAGGCAGCGAAGGAGAAGAUGACCAUGGCAUUCUAGGCCGCUUCUGGACCGGUAUAGAAAGUUUGUUCCUCACCAAAGUCCACAAGCACGUUGAUCCGAUCGGUCAAGAAAUUCAGAAGCUUGUCUCUUACAAGAACGAAAGUGGAUGGGUGUUGCUUACCAAAGGAUCAACUUUGUUGGUCACAGGUCAUGGUAUCUCCGCAUUGAAGGUGGUAGAAGACUUUGAGAAAUGGAGGGAGCAUGUCAAGGAGAAAGGGUUUGAGUUUUGUUUCAAGGCCUAUUAUGGGAAGGUUAUUCAGGCUGGUCGACCUUGUUGCCGUCUUGACAUUCCGGGGUCUACCGGAAAGGUUCCGGAGUCGAUGAAGUGCCCUGAUUGUCACCGUAGUAUGGAGACUUUUAUCAGUUACAAGUGCUGCCACAUUGAUGGUCCAACUGCACAUCAUUGAGUCCUGGAUGAAUUGGUGUUUACGAUCAGUCCUUCAGUACGUUAUGAUGGACACUGUUAUGUUAUCUUUUACUUCUGC
rnacentral:lncRNA from 1 species